rnacentral:lncRNA from 1 species
UACCAGUAUUCAGUAAGUAGGUUUUGCCCUAGCUCGCUAGCCGCUCCCAUCCCAGAUCUGAAAUCAAUUUCUCAUCCUCUUCUUUCUUCUUGCUUCUCGAUCUCGACUCUCGCUCACUUACUGAACUGUCGACUGUCGUCUCCGGGCUCCGGCAUCCGUGGCUCCGCCUCUCUCCGUUACAUCCUCUCCGGCCUCCGCCUCCGGCCUCUCUCCGUCUCAAUCUCUGCUCCAGCCUCUGCUGGUUAGUGGCUUCCCCUCCUUUCUCGACUGGAUUAGUAUCUAGUUUGGUAUUUCACCACUUGUUUGCUAGGUGGGUUAUUAUUGAGGAUGGUUUUUUGCUCAUUUUGUGGUUAUAUACAGUUUUUUUGCUAUGAGAUUAAUCUAAUUCUGCCAUUUUUUAAAAUAGAAAUUUAAUUAUGUCAUGACUCGAUAUAUAAGUUAUGUUCAUCCCUAAUUAUGGAAUAUGGAUCACAACUUAUUCCUCCUCCUGUCCCUUCAAUGUGUAAAAUUAUGGUUCUGCUGUAUAUGAGAUGAGCUCCACUCAAGUUCUGUUUACUUUCUAGAUACUGUAAUCACUUGCUCCACUUCGGAUGGUUGAUUUUGUAAAGCUUAUAUAAGCAAUGUUUUUCCAAAAAAUUAAGUUAUUGAAAUUGCAUAGAUUGGGAUCAUCUCUAGAAGACAUUGUGGAAUGUAUAUUUUCCAUUUUCUGUGUAACAUAUAUUUUUAGUAGAUUAUAUAUCUAGAUCUCUCCUUUCCAGUGAAUGUUGAAAGAUACAUGAACUUAAUUAGUGAUGGUCUUCUUGAUAGAGUGUGUUCCUGAUUGCCUUUUAUGUGUUAGUAUCUUGUUUGAACUUUGAGGGUCAUUAGCCCAGCACUGUUAUUAUCUGCUGGAAAGCACACUUAUUGUUGUUCUCAUUUAGAAUUUGCUUGAAAUAGGUAUUGGAUUCAUCACUGUCUCCAUUAGUCAGUCUUGUAUGAUCAAUACUAGUAAAGUUACAAAUUAAACAUAAAGAUAUAUAGUAGUAAGUUACUAAAACAUAAAUACUUGUUUUGCUCUUCCAAGUGAAUUUGUUCCUCAAAAUAUUAUUUCUAUCCACCAUUAAUUUUGUAUACAUUUCAGUUCCUCAAAUAUGAAUCUGUAGAUUCUGUACAUUUGAAACACCAAUAUCAUGUUUUUUUCUCUUGAUGAAUCCUAUCAUACUUGUUAUUUUUAAGUCCUUAUCCACUAGAAUAUCAUGUUUUUUCUGUUGAUGAAUCUUUUUUACCUGCCUUUUUAUUUCAAUUUCAUAUAUUAGUUGGCAUUCAUUCAUAAUUUUCUGUUACUGCAAAAUAUAAAAUGUGCUGACCCAAUCUAGCAUGGCCCCUUUUUCUGUUACAUAUUGUGUUCUUUAGUUGUGUUUUUCUGCAGUUAGUGAUGUGGUGUAGUUGUCAUACCUUUUAAGUUUCAAUGAUAAACCAACUGUGUCUGUGUUAAUGACAGUUGAUGUCUGCUGAAGUGCUGGUCUGCUGCUGUCUACUGGUAAUCUGGUAUGCUGCUAGUUGUUGCUAGUUGCUGCUGCCUGCCUGCUACUCUGUCUCUGCUAGUAGAUUAAUUUCAUUUUGACUUGUUGUUGCUUUGUUAAGUCAUAAAUUUGUUAAGUAGAUUAAUUUCAUUUUGUCUGCCGGACUGGACAGUUAAUUUUUGUUGGCUUGUUGUUGCUGACUUGCUGUAUUUUGGACAGUUAAUUUGGCUUGCUUUGUUAAGUCAUAAAUUUCAUGUUGGCUUGUUGUUGCUGCUGGACAAUUAAGUUAAUAGUUGGCAAUUACUGGACAGUUGAUUUGUUAAACAGGUAACAGGUUAUGUUGGAUGAUAUUUCGGUUAGUACCAGAAUAUCCGAAAUUACAAUUCUGUAAUUCGGUUAUUUUCAAAUUUCGGUUAACAUUUCGGAUAGUGAAAUUAACAAUAAUUCAGUUUUCGUUUAUAACCGAAUAGCUUAUUCGGUUCUGUUAUAACCGAAUGAUCACCCCUAAUUGACAUGACACAAUUAUUUAUAUUAUUAGUUAGCAUUAUUGACAAUGUGUAGAAAGUUUUGUCGAGGAAAUGGGUUAGGUUAUAUAAUUGCGCCCUAAUAAGGAUAAAUUCUUAUUGGAAAAUCCCCUCUUUCCUGGGAAUGAUCUGGUUGUUAAUAUUGUGAGCUUAUAAUAUUAAUUGUGAAUAAUUAUUAUGUGGUGGUUAUUGGUUCAAUUUUGAUAUAAAUGAAGGAAUUUUAGCAUAAAACAUUUGUUGAAAGUUUGACAUAUUUUUCUAUGGAAUCACAAUUAUCUUCUCCGAUAAAAUAUUCAUUCAAAUAUAUUAUUAUAAUAGUAUAAUUUUUAUAAUGUAAAUGGUAAUAUUAUUAUAAUAAUAAAUAAUUUGCAGGCAUGUAAAUUAUGAGUGGAAGUGAGAAGGUUUGCUUUGCAUUCUUUUCUUUUCUAAGUUGGUGGGCAGAAAAGUUUCUCCUGCAAUGUAUUCAUUUGUUUCCAAAUCAGUGGGCCUCACCCAUAAGGAAUUGCUGGUUAGGAAAAAAAAGAAAAAAAAAAAGGAAGGUUAGGCAGAAAAGUUAGGCAUGUUUGCUUAUUUCUUUCCUCCGUGCUGCACACCAUCACAAUAUCAUAAAUUUUUAUUCUAUAAUAUUGUGAGUAUUUCUCUUGAGUAUAAGAAUACUUUGAGUGUAGCUUUUAGUGCAAGAUUUUCUCAAGAUAAUAUCUGAUAUUCCAAGUCAAAUCUAGUUUCUACUAAGGUAAAUGAUAUUAUUUUGUGACGCCCCCAAAAUAGGUAUACAUCACCCAUUCUGAGUCGCCAAAUACAUGGUACAAAAACAAAUACAACUUCAGUAAUAUAAUUGUCAUGCAGAAUACGACAACGCCUAUACUGUAAGUUUGAAUACAAAUAUUGUAUACUAGAGAGUAUACAAACUCAAAAGGAGUCCUCAUUACAAUUAUUCAAACACUAUUUUACAGAAAUAGUUAGGACUGCUAAAACAUCUUUCUAGAACCAUCACUCCGUACCCCGACUAGUUCCUGCUAUGUUCUCACCUCCUGAGAAAAAUGGAACAAAAAGGAAAAGGGUGAGCUCAACUAGCCCAGUAAAGAAUAUUAUGACUAAGAUAAUAUACAACAAAUUAUCAUUAGUCUUCAACAGGGAAUAAUCUGAUAAAAUAUAAUAGACAACAAGUUUUAGAUCAACAACUGCAGCGGAAACAACAAUCCAUUAGAAGAGUCAAGUAGAGAAUGAGUUCUACUAUCUUCUAAGAUUUAAAAGUCCAUCAUCAAUAUUUUAUCCCUGUAACAACAAUCAAUAUACAUCUUUAAUCAAAUAUUCAUCUUUGCACUACAGGCCAAAGAUAUUCAUUUGUAUCACCAGUUGGUCAUGUUCAUCUCAACACCUGUUCAUCUUUGCACUACGGGCCAAAGAUAUUCAUCAGUUAAUCAUUCAUCUUUGCACUACAGGCCAAAGAUAUUCAGUAAUAUCAUCAUUUAGGACUGAGGAUGAUGAAAAAUAUUUUAAAGAAAACGAAUCCAGUGAGACAGAAGGACAAAUAUUAGGGAUUCGUAUAACAGUUUAUCCAAGAUCAAUAAUACUUCAUAAUAACCAAUUGUGAAGCAGAAUUCAAAAAUAAAGAUCAAAACAUGGAUACAAUCAAAGAUAGUAACCAUAAUAGACAUCUUGGACAAAAAGAAGAAAAUUUCAUUUUUCGGUGAAUAGUGCCGUAUUCGUGAAUAGUGCCGUAUACGUGAAUAGUAACCCCGACACAAAAAGUUCCAAAUUUGAUAAAAAGUCCGAUCAAUACUUCGGCAUAAUGAUAUUGAAGAAAUAAUAUCAUAUAUGAAGAAAAUAACAUCCCUUACCUCAAAAUAUCAGUACUUCUGAUCGGAAUAUCGGUAUAAGGCUGAAGGAAACUUGCACUGAUGAAUAGAAACUCACAAAGUAUCUAAAUACUCACAAAAUACACUCAAUAAUCUAGAGAGAGAAAGAGAGAAAACUUGUUUCUGGUGUGAUUUUCAAUUCUAACUUAGCCCUCUAUUUAUAGGAAAAUGUUAGCAGACUUGACCUGCAACCUGAUGGCUUUACCUGCUACUAUUCCCACCCACCACAUUUGAAAUAAAUUCAGCACAUUUCUUCACCAACCACAAGUGGGGCCCACUCAAUUCUAGAAUUUUCCACCAAAAUCAUUUAUAAACCUAAUUUCUGAAUCAGUCACCUCUUAAAAUUCAUAACAAAUCAUACGUUCAUUUUUAACGGUUCAAAAUUUGUGGACAUAUACUCAACUUAUAUAUGUAUAACAUAUCCAAAAAUUACAACGAUCCAACGGUCGGAUUAAAAAUUAUAACUCACACAAUAUAUCUCAAAAACACUGGUUUAAUUUUUAAUACCUUCAUUCCGACAAAAAUACUGAUAAAACACCUCAACAUUAACUCCUUCAUUUUUAACCACAAUAAAUAUAUCCAACAUUUAUAUCCACAUAAAAUAAAUAUUUCCUUAUCAUAUGAAUCAAUAAUUAAUUAUUCACAAAUAAUAUUACAGAAUCACAUUUAUGACAACCAGGCCGUUCCCAGGAAAGAGGGGGCUUUCCAAUAAGAAUUUCUCCUUAUUGGCGCGCAAUUAGGUGACCAAACCUCUCCUUGACAGAACUUUCUAGACAUUGCCAAUAAUGCUAUCUAAUAAUAUUAUUCAAAUAAUAUGAAUUAUUGAUCUGAUAAUGGGAAAUACUGUGCAGUGACAAUUAUUGAAACAACAAUAAUAUAAAAUAUCAACGCAGCAAUUAUUGAAUCAAUAAAAUAAAAUAUUGAACAGUAACUACUGUAACAAUUAUUGAGUAGUGCCUUCUUACGUAAGGAUCAAUAAUUCAUCAAUACUGUGCAUCCACGCGUAUUACUGUAUUUUAACCACCGGGUAUUCCAACAGUGUUAACGGUAACAACUACGCCGUUAUUUAUAAAAACUCAAACUUGUCGUUUUCUUCAUCCGACAGUUAUUCUGUUAUGGGGCCCACAAAUGACUGCGCCGUCGUACGAAUAUUCCCCGACAACAAGAAUAUUCCACGACCAAACGAAUAUUCCCCGACAACAAUGAUUAUUUUAUAACCACUUGCAUAUUUUGCAAAAUUUGCACAUUUCACCCAUAACCAGAUAAUUAUAUCAAAUUAAUACCUCAUUAUUCACAAUAAUAAUUAGAGAAAAUUCGAUUUUAUUUAUAAUAAGUUGGGGUCUUACAUAUUUUUUCCGUAAAAGAUAUUAUUUUAUUUCAAUACUCGUAAGAAAUAUCAUUUUCUUUCAUACUCCAUAUUAUGGAAUUGAUAUUAUUUCAUUUCAUAUUCCUAAAUUUAAACUUAUGAUGGUAAGUAUUGCUUCUAUAAUUCCUGAAAUGAUUAGAAAUUCCUUAAGUUUUGCGCUUAAUCUAAUAUCAUUUCGUUGGAAUAUUGGUCUGAAUAUUCUUAUUAAAAUUUAAUCUUUUCAUGUUGGGGUACUAUUCAUGGGUACUAUUCAUACAUUUCUAUUCAUACGAUACUAUUUAUACGGUACUAUUCAUACAGUACUAUUCAUGAGUACUGUUCACAACAGAAUUUAAUUUUCUUUUCUGUCCAAAUUAUUUUUGAUACAUGAAUAUCAUUCUUGAAUUUUUCUCCACAAAUAGUUAUCAUGUUGACAAUUUGGACAUUUUUGAACUCUAGAUAUAUUUGAAUUAUAUAUCUAUAAUAUUUAUCAUUGAUCUCACUUGAUUGAUUCUUUUUAUCAUUGUCAUCAUUCUCAUGCUUAUAUUGUACUGGAAGUCAUCUUUGGCCCGUAGUGAAAAAAUGGACUAUUGAUUGGUAUGAUUAUGACCAGGAAUUGUGUAUUGGUAUAAUCAUGACAUGUAAUGUUACAAACAAAGGUUUGUGGUGAAAGUCCUCUUUGGAUCGUAGUCCAUAAAUGGACAGUUGUUUGGCAUGAUCAUGAUCACUGGUGAUACAAAUGAAUAUCAUUGGCCCGUAGUGCAUGGAUAAUUUAUUGAUUUGAAACAUUUAUUAAUUGGUGUUACAGGGAUAAAAUAUUGAUGAUCGACUUUUAAAAUCAUAGAAAAUAGUAGAUAUCAUGCUCUAUUUGACUCUUAUAAUGGAUUGCUAUUUCCGCUGAAGUUGUUGAUCUAAAACUUGUCUAUUGUAUUCUAAAUCCAUUCGUUUAUUGAAAAACGGAUGUCAAGCUUUCUUAGCCCAUGUCACAAGAUUUAAACAAAAAUACAUCAGAUUUGAAUGAUAUUUUUGUUGUUAAUAAAUUUCUUGACGUAUUUCCCGAAGAACUUCCUGGCCUACCUGGGAGUUAGAAUAUGAAAUGAAAACAAGGUAUCCUCACAUUUUUGACAUACGAGGUACGUACAUCAAUUUCGAGGAUGAAAUUUCAUAAGGAGGGGAGGUUGUAAGACCCCAACUUUUUAUGAAUAAAGAUUUAAUUUUCUCUAAAUAUUAUUUUGAAUAAGAAGAUGUUGACUUUAUAUAAUUCUAUAGUUAUGGGUGAUAUGAGCAAAUUUUUCAAAGUAAGCAAGUUGUCAUAAAAUAUUCGUUUGGUCAAGGAAUAUUCUUUUUUCGGAGAAUAUUCGUACGACGACACAAUCAUUGGUGGACCCAAUAAUAGAAUAAUUGUCGAAUAUAGAAAGCGACAAAAAUAACCUUUUCAUAAAAUAACGGUAAGACUUUUACCGUUAAACUGUUGAAAUACCUGGUGAUAAAAGUACAGAAAAACGCGUUAUUGCAUAGUAGCACAGUAGCACACGGUAUUGCACAAUAUCUUUGAUUAUUGAUGUUUAUGUAAGAAGUCAAUCAGUUUCAUUCAACAAUUGCAUUAGUAGUUGCUGCAUAGUAUCUCAUAUUAUUGAUUCAAUUAUUGUCACAGUAUUAUCUGCACAAUAUUUUAUAUAAUUAAAUCAAUAAUUAAGAUGACAUAGUUAUUCAUAUUAUUAUUUGCAUUAUUGACAAUGUCUAGAAAGUUCUGUCGAGGAGAGAGGUUAGGUUAAGUCAUUGCGCGCCAAUAAGGAGAAAUCUUUAUCGGAAAGCCCAUUCUUUCCUGGGAAUGAUCUGAUUGUCAAUAUUGUGAGUUAUAAUAUUAUUGAUGAAGAACUGUUGAAAGAUUAAAAAUGUGUUGAUUAAAGAUAAAGUGAUUUGUGGUAAAUAUUUAUUCAAUUUUUGAUAUAAAUAAGAGGUUUGUCAUGAGACGUUUGUUGUAAGUUUGGUUUAUUCAAUGAGACCCAUAAGUCAUCAUCUAAGAGUCACUUUCGUCAAUAGUACUUACCUUUACCAGACGUCAAACCACUUGUCAUUUCACAUUACAGACGUCAAACCACUUGUCGUUCACAUUGCAGGCGUCAAACCACUUGCUUUUUCACAUUACCAGGCGUCAAGCCACUUGCCUCUUCACAUUGCAAGGGCUAAGCUAGAAUUAUUCUAUAAAUAGAAGCUCAUUCUUCUUUCAUUCUCACCAAUUCACUAAGACUCACAAGAGAAAACUAUAGAGAGAAAAUCAGAGAGAAAGAAGAAGAGUAUUCUGCUACUACACUAUUGCAGUAUCCAAUCUCCUACUAAGGUAAGGAAUAUUAUUUCUUUCGUAUUCAUAAAGGAUGUUAUUUUCUUCAUACUCAUAAGGGUUGUCAUUCCAUUCCUUAUUAAUGUGUGGGAAUAACCUGUCUAAGCGGAUUACAGCAUGCAUGGUCAUGAAUAACCUUUCGUUUUCAUUCUUUAUUAAUCUGUGUGAAUAACCUCUCUACGCGGAGUACCGCAUGCUUGGUGAAUAACCCUUCGUAUUCAUUCUUUAUUAAGUUGUGAAAAUGAUCUGUCUACGCGGAUUACCGCAUGACAGGUGAAAAUUCAUUUGCAGUUUCAUAUAUUUUUUUAUACUCCAUUUUAUGUAAGUGAUAUUAAUUCAUUUCAUAUUCAUAAAUCUAAACUUACUAUGGUAAAUAUUGCUUCUAUAUUUCUUGAAAUGAUUAGAAAUUUCUUGAGGUUUGCGCUUCAUCUAUUAUCAUUUCAUUGGAAUAUUAGUCUGAACUCUCUUAUUGAAAUUUUAAUACUUUCAUUCGGGGUACUAUUCACGGGAUACUAUUCAUUCAAUAUACUAUUCACGGGAUACUAUUCACUCGGGGUACUAUUCAAGACAAAAUUGGUUUCUUUUUUGUCCAAAUUAUUUUUGAUAUAUGAAUAUCAUUCUUGAAUUUUACUCCAUAAUUAGUUAUCAUGUUAACAAUUUGGACAUUCUUGAACUCUGGAUAAAUUGAAUUAUAAAUCUCUAAUAUUUAUCAUUGAUCUCACUUGAUUGAUUCUGUAAGACCCCAACUUUUUAUUAAUAAAAUUGAAUUUUCUCUAAUUAUUAUUGUGAAUAAUAAGGUGUUAAUUUGAUAUAAUGCUUUGGUUAUGGGUGAAAUAUGUAAAUUUUGCAAAAAUAAACAAGUGAUUAUAAAAUAUUCAUUGUUGUCGGGGAAUAUUCGUUUAGUCGUGGAAUAUUCUUGCUGUCGGGGAAUAUUCGUACGAUGACAUAACCAUUUGUGGGCCCCAUAAUGGAAAACGGUUAGAUGAAGAAAACGACAAGUUUGAGUUUUUACAAAUAACGGCAUAGUUGUUACCAUUAACACUGUUGGAAUACCCGGUGGUUAAAAUACGGUAAUACGCGUGGUUGCACAGUAGCACACGAUAUUGCACAGUAUUUUUGAAUUAUUCCUUCCUACGUAAGAAGGCACUACUCAAUAAUUUUUACAGUAAUUACUGUUCAAUAUUUUAUUUUGUUGAUUCAAUAAUUGCUACGUUGAUAUUUUAUAUUAUAGUUGUUUCAAUAAUUGUCAUUGCACAGUAUUUCCCAUUAUCAGAUAAAUAAUUCAUAUUAUUUGAAUAAUAUUAUUAGAUAACAUUAUUGGCAAUGUUUAAGAAAGUUAUGUCUAGGAAAGAGGUUUAGUCACCUAAUUGCGCGCCAAUAAGGAGAAAUCCUUAUCGGAAAGCCCCCUCUUUCUUGGGAACGACAUUGUUGUCAUAAUUGUGAUUCUGUAAUAUUAUUUGUGAAUAAUUAAUUAUUAAUUUAUAUGAUAAGAAAAUAUUUAUUUUAUGUGAAUAUUAAUGAAGGAAUUAAUGUUGAGGUGUUUUAUCAGUAUUUUGUCGGAAUGAAGGUAUUAAAAAUCAUCCGUAUGUGGAUUUCGGACAUUUUCUGAUUGGAAUUUGGAAAAAAUUUCUUCUACAAAGUUAUAGAGAAUUAAAUUUCCUAUGAAAUACACACGAGAUUCGAAUUUUUCUGAUAAAAGAGCUAUUUAUUAUGAAUUAUUGAAGUUUUAGAAAUAAAUAUUUUUAUUAAAAACAUGGUGGGCCCCACUUUUGGUUGGUGAGAAAUGUGCUAAAUUUUUAUUUCAAAAGUGGUGGGCGUGAAUAGUAUCAAGCAAAACCAUCAGGUAGCAGGUUAGUUUACUUUGGCGUUCCAACAUUUUCCUAUAAAUAGGGUGCUUAGUUAGAAUUAAAAAUCAAACCAGAAUCAUAAACUUUCUCUUUCUAUACCAUCGAGCGUAUUUUUGUGAGUAUUUAGAUAUUUUGAGAGUUGUUAUUCAGUGCAAGUUUCCUUCAGCCUUAUACUUGAUAUUUCAGCCGGAAGUACUGUUCUUUUGAGGUAAGGGAUGUUAUUUUCUUCGUAAAUGAUAUUUUUCUUUCAAUAUCAUUAUGCCAAAAAAUUGGUAUGAAUUUUAUUGUGAAAUUUCUACCUUUCAAGUCGAGGUUACUAUUCACGUAUACAGCACUAUUCACGUAUACGACACUAUUCAUAAAUACAGUACUAUUCAUGAAGUAUGAUUUUUCUUGUAGAAUUUCUAUCUUUUUGUGUCGGGGUUACUAUUCACGUAUACGACACUAUUCACGAAUACGACACUAUUCACAGAAAAAUGAAAUUUUCUCUUCUUUGUCUAAUAUGUCUAUUAUGGUUACUAUUUUUUAUUGUAUCCAUGUUUUGAUCUUUAUUCUUGAAUUUUACUCCACUAUGGUUUAUUACGGAGUAUUUUUGAACUUGAAUUAUCUAAAGUACGAAUCCCUAAUUUUUGUUCUUUUAUCUCACUAGAUUUGUUUCUUUAAAAUAUUUUUCAUCAUCCUCAGUCCUAAAUGGUAAUAUAACUGAAUAUCUUUGGCCUGUAGUGCAAAGAUGAAUGAUUACCUGAUGAAUAUCUUUGGCCCGUAGUACAAAGAUGAACAGGUGUUGAGAUGAACAUGACCAACUGGUGAUACAAAUGAAUAUCUUUAACCCAUAGUGCAAAGAUGAAUAUUUGAUUCAAGAUGUAUAUUGAUUGAUGUUACAGGGAUAAAAUAUUGAUGAUGGACCUUUAAAUUCAUAGAUGAUAGUAGAUUUUAUUCUCUACUUAAACUCUUCUAAUGAAUUGUUAUUUUCGCUGCGAAUAUUGAUCUAAAACUGGUUGUCCAUUAUAUUUUAUCUGAUUUAUUGAAGGCUAACGAUAAUUUUUUCUACAUUAUCUUAGUCAUAAUAUUCUUUACUGGGCUAGUUGAGCUCACCCUUUUCCUUUUUGUUCCAUUUUUCUUCUAAGGAGGCGAGAAUAUAGCGGGAACUAGUCGGGGGUAUGGAGUGAUGUUUCCAGUCGUUUGUUUUAGUAGUCCUCACUAUUUUGUAAAAUAGUGUGAUAAUAAUUGUAAUGAGGACUCCUUUUGAGUCUGAAUAUUGUCUAUUAGACAAUAUUUUGUAUUUAAACUCACAGUAUAUGUGUUGUCGUAUUUUGCACGAUAAUUGUAAUAAUGAAGUUGUAGUUGUUUUCUGUACCAUGUAUUUGGUGACUCAGAAUGGGUGGUGUAUACCUAUUUUGGGGGCGUCAUAGAUUCUUUAUAUCAUUGUCAUCAUUCUCAUGCUUAUAUUGUACUGGAAGUCAUCUUUGGUCCGUGGUGCAAAGAUGGACUAUUGAUUGGUAUGAUUAUGACCAGGAAUUGUAUAUUGGUAUAAUCAUGACGUGUAAUGUUACAAACAAAGGUUUGUGGUAAAAGUCCUCUUUGGCCCGUAGUGCAUAGAUGGACAGUUGUUUGGCAUGAUCAUGACCACUGGUGAUACAAACGAAUAUCCUUGGCCCGUAGUGCAUGGAUAAUUUGUUUAUUUGAAACAUUUAUUAAUUGGUGUUACAAGAAUAAAAUAUUGAUGAUGGACUUUUAAAAUCAUAGAAGAUAAUUGACAUCAUGCUUUACUUAACUCUUCUAAUGGAUUGUUAUUUCCGCUGGAGUUGUUGAUCUAAAACUUGUUCUCUAUUAUAUUCUAAAGCCAUUCAUUUAUUGAAAAAUGGAUGUCAAGCUUUCUUAGCCCAUGUCACAGAUUUAAACAAAAAUACAUCAGAUUUGAAUGAUAUUUUUGUUGUUAAUAAAUUUCCUGACGUAUUUCCCGAAGACUUCCUGGCCUACCCGGGAGUUAGAAUAUGAAAUGAAAACAAGGUAUCCUCACCUUUUUGACAUACCAGGUACGUACAUCAAUUUUGAGGAUAAAAUUUCAUAAGGAGGGGAGGUUGUAAGACCUCAACUCUUUAUGAAUAAAGACUUAAUUUUCUCUAAAUAUUAUUUUGAAUAAUAAGGUGUUGACUUGAUAUAAUGCUAUAGUUAUGGGUGAUAUGUGCAAAUUUUGCACAGUAAACAAGUUGUCAUAAAACAUUCGUUUGGUCGGAGAAUAUUUUUUUUGUCAAAAAAUAUUCGUACGACGACAUAAUCAUUGGUGGACCCCACAACAGAAUAAUUGUCGGAUAUAGAAAGUGACAAAACUAACCAUUUCAUAAAAUAACGACAAGACUUUUACUGUUAAACUGUUGAAAUACCCUGUGAUAAAAGUACUGUAAUACACGUUGUUGCACAGUAGCACACGAUAUUUCACAGUAUCUCUGAUUAUUGAUGCUUACGUAAGAAGUCACUCAGUUUCAUUCAAUAAUUGCAAUAGUAGUUGCUGCAUAGUAUCUCAUAUUAUUGAUUCAAUUAUUGUCACAAUAUCAUCUACACAAUAUUUUAUAUUAUUAAAUCAAUAAUUAAGAUGACACAAUUAUUCAUAUUAUUAUUUGCAUUAUUGACAAUAUCUAGAAAGUUUUAUCGAGGAAAGGGGUUAUGUUAUUUAAUUGCGCGCCAAUAAGGAGAAAUUCUUAUCAGAAAGCCCCCUCUUUCCUGGGAAUGAUCUGGUUAUGAAUAUUGUGAGUUAUAAUAUUAUUGAUGAAGAAUUGUUGAAAGAUUAAAAAUGUGUUGAUUGAAGAUAAAAUGAUUUAUGGUAAAUAUUUAUUCAAUUUUUGAUAUAAAUAAGAGGUUUGUCAUGAGACGUUUGUUGUAAGUUUGGGUUAUUCUAUGGGACCCAUAGGUCAUCAACUAAGAGUCACUUUCUCCAAUAGUACUUACCUUUACCAGAUGUCAAACCACUUGUCGUUUCACAUUACAGGCGUCAAACCACUUGUCUUCUCACAUUACCAGGCGUCAAGCCACUUGCCUCUUCACAUUGCAAGGGCUAAGCUAGAAUAUAUUCUUCUAUAAAUAGAAGCUCAUUCUUCUUUCAUUCUCACCAAUUCACUAAGACUCACAAGAGAAAACUAUAGAGAGAGAAUUAGAGAGAAAUAAGAAGAGUAUUGUGCUACUACACUAUUGCAGUAUUCAAUCUCCUACUAAGGUAAGGGGUAUUAUUUCUUUCGCAUUCAUAAAGGAUGUUAUUUUCUUUAUACUCAUAAGGGUUGUCACUCCAUUCCUUAUUAAUUUAUGGGAAUAACCUGUCUACGUAGAUUAUAGCAUGCCUGGUGAAUAACCUUUCGUAUUCAUUCUUUAUUAAUUUAUGGGAAUAACCUAUCUAUGCAGAUUACCGCAUACCUGGUGAAUAACCCUUUGCAUUCAUUCUUUAUUAAAUUAUAGAAAUGAUCUGUCUAUGCGGAUUACCGCAUGACAGGUAGAAAUCUAUUUGCAGUUUCAUAUAUUCUUUUAUAAUCCAUUUUAUGUAUGUGAUAUUAUUUCAUUUUAUAUUCCUAAAUCUAAACUUACUAUGGUAAGUAUUGCUUCUAUAAUUCCUGAAAUGAUUAGAAAUUCCUUGAGGUUUGCUCUUCAUCUAAUAUUAUUUCAUUGGAAUAUUGGUCUGAACUCUCUUAUUGAAAUUUUAAUAUUUUCAUUCGGAAUACUAUUCAUGGGGUACUAUUCACUCGGAGUACUAUUCAUUCGGGGUACUAUUCAAGACAAAAUUAGUUUCUUUUCUGUCCAAAUUAUUUUUGAUACAUGAAUAUCAUUCUUGAAUUUUACUCCACAAUUAGUUAUCAUGUUAACAAUUUGGACAUUCUUGAACUCUAGAUAAAUUGAAUUAUAAAUCUCUAAUAUUUAUCCUUGAUCUCACUUGAUUGAUUCUUUAUAUCAUUGUCAUCAUCCUCAUGCUUAUAUUGUGCUGAAAGUCAUCUUUGGCUUGUAGUGCAAAGAUGGACUGUUAAUUGGUAUGAUUAUGACCAAGAAUUGUGUAUUGGUAUUGUCAUGACAUUUAAUGUUAUAGAUAAAGGUUUGUGGUGAAAGUCCUCUUUGGCCCGUAGUGCAGAGAUGGACAGGUGUUUGGCAUGAUUAUGACCACUGAUGAUACAAACGAAUAUCUUUGGCCCAUAAUGCAUAGAUAAUUUGUUGAUUUGAAACAAUUAUUGAUUGGUGUUACAGGAAUAAAAUAUUAAUGAUGAACUUUUAAAUCAUAGAAGAUAGUAGACAUUAUGCUCUACUUGACUCUUUUAAUGGAUUGUUAUUUCCACUGCAGUUGUUGAUCAAAAACUUGUUGUCUAUUGUAUUUUAUCAGAUUUUUUCCUAUUGAUGGCUAAUGAUAAUUUGUUCUAAAUUAUCUUAGUCAUAAUAUUCUUUUGGUUCCAUUGUUCUUCUUAGGAGGCGAGAAUGUAGCUGAGACUAGUCGGGGAGUGGAGUAAUGGUCCAAGAUGGUUAUUAUAGUAGUCCUCAUUAUUUUAUUUUGUAAAAUAGUGUGAUAAUAAUUAUAAUGAGGACUUUAUUUGAGUUUGGAUAUUGUCUACGAGACAAUAUUUGUAUUGAAACUCACAACUUAUGUUUUGUCGUAUUUUACACGACAAUUAAUAGUUGUAUAGAUGAAGUUUGUAUUUGAAUUCUGUACCAUGUAUUUGACGACUCAAAAUGGGUUGUGUGGACCUAUUUUGGGGGCGUCACACAAGUUGAACAAGACUGGUGGAACUCAAGAAAGUGUAAACAAGAAGUAGAAUAUGAAGUUACAGUAAUCUAUAUUAUCCUUUUGUAUUUGAUUUUUUUAUGGUAUUUUGGUGUUUGCAAACCUGACUAAGAAGGUUUUUUUGGUGUUUGGUAUCCUAGACAAUUGUUCUGGUGAUGUUUGUAAUUCUGACAAUGGUGUUACUAAUUAAAUGAACAAAGAGUUCUUGUUAAGUUUUUUUUUUUACAAAUGUCACUUCACCAUUAUAUGCAGUUUGUUUUUAAUCAGGGCUUUAUGCAUUGUUUGUAGGAUCACCAGUUCUUUGCAGCAUUCAAAAUGUUUUGUACCCCUCCAAUUUUGUCCAUAAUCAAAUGUUCUGUAUUGCUUAUUAACAAAACUGCAUUUUAUUGGGAUGUCCCCAAUCUUUUAUCAAUGCUCUAUUUUUCUUAUUAUCAAUUUUAAAAAAUUGGGAUGAUCUAUUCUCAAUAAUUUAUUUUGUCAAAUAACAGUUCUUCUCAAAGAAACUGGAUGUCAAAUGAUUGUUCAAUGCUCUGGUUUUUUUUAAUAAUUAUUCAAAGAAACACAAUUAUCAAAGAUCAUGAAUCUACAUUAACACAAUCAUCCAAAUAAUACAAUUCUCUAAACAUCAUAAAUCUACAUUAACACAAAUGCCUAAAUAAUACACCACCACAAUAUUCUCCAAACAUCACCACUUAUAUAUCAAUUUUUUUCCAAACAUCAAAACAACUAAUACAGAGCUUUCUCCAAAUAUCAUUAGUCUAUAUUAACACAAUAUUCCAAAACAUCACAACUUAUAUCAAUUUUUUCCAAACAUCAAAACAACUAAAAAAAAGCUUUCUCCAAUUACACAAAUUACUAAAAAAAAAGUUUUUAACAUGCUCAACCACAAAACAAAAAGUACCCCUGUGAGAUCCCGAAUUUUAUGAAAUGAAAAUAUUCAAUUUUCUUAUAAUUAUUAUUUUAUUUAGUAAAUGGUUAAAUUGAGAAAGGGUUAAAGUUAAGGGUUAUAUGUGAAAAUUUUACAAAGUAAGCAAGUUGUUAUAAAAUAUUCGAUUGGUCGGGGAAUAUUCGUUUUAACAGGGAAUAUCUGAAACAACCCGGGUCAAAUCCCGAGUCCGGAAUAAAUCUCAGGUCAAAUCCCAAGUCCGAAUUGAAUUAAAUCCAUCAAAAUAAGGCCUCAAACUACUGACCCAAGACCACCCUGAUUUCUCCCAUGCUGAACUAAAGUUUGACCCUGCUGGUCAUCUCUAUCCCUCUUUCGACUCCCAUUCGGUUUAGAAGACCGAAAGUUCUGUCGCUCCAUCUCAAUAUUUUUGGCUGCAUUUGCCACAGCCGACACAUCUGCAAACUUGUUGUUAAUGAGAUGUUGUCGAUACCUAUAAUGAAUCCUCCACUUAAACUUCUCUGCCUGUUCUGUUGCAGUCCCUGCUGAGGUUCCCGCAAAGCCUGCCAACCUAGUAAACCUCGUCAUGAAGUCCGUGAUGGACUCAUCAUCUUUCUGCCGAAUCGACAGAUACUCCCUAGCAUAGGCCUCUUUAUCAGCACCUGGGAAGUACUGCUGAUAAAAGACCUCAAAAAAUUCCGCCCAAUUAAGUGUCUCAGCAUAAUUUUCACAUUUUGUUGUUUUCAUCGCUUUCCACCACCUUUGUGCAUCCCCUUCCAGCUUGUAUGCAGCAAGCAGCACUCUCUGAUUAUCUGAACACCCUAACACAUCAAAAAUCUUCUCCAGGUGGGCAAUCCAAUUCUCUGCAUCAAUUGGAGUUGGACCUGAACUGAAUGCCUGUGGUUUCUGCUUUUGAAACCUUUCCAACCACACAUACAUUGGAACCACCUGCUGAUCAAUACCAUCUGCAUUCCCUUCUUCUUCGUUUGCAUGUGGACCAUUAUUUCCCGGGUUCUCCUGCUCAGGAAUUUCUGGUGGCGGCUGCUGCAUUGCCUGUACAACUUGUGCCACCAACUGAGGUAACGCCUGAUUCACUGCUUGAUUCACCAAGGUAGCCAACUGAGCAUUUAUCUGAUUAUUAUGUUGUUCAUUGGGCUGACCCUCACCUCUUCCCCUAUUGUUGCCUCGCCUCCCAGCAACUCUGGCGGAUCUACGAGCCAUCUAACAAAGAGAUCAACGAAUAGAUAACAAAGCAGAUUAGAGACAGAUUCGAAUAUAGCUGAUAUGAUAGCUGAACAAAAAAUCAAACAGAACAAAACCUAACCCAGAAGUCUACCCAUAACUUACAUGUGCAUGCUUCUUGUGUGGACAUAUGGGUCAUAUUGCUAGAGAUUGUACCGGUCCACGUGGUAAUGGUGGAGGUGGUGAUAAUGGUGGCAAUGGAGGUCAGCGUCAGGGUGGUCGAGUGUUUGUCUUGACAUAUAAUCAGACGACAGGUGCACCAGGUAUUGUUUCUGGCACUCUUUUAGUUGGUAAUCGCGAGGCUUCUAUUUUGUUUGAUACGGGUUCUACUAAUUUCGUUGUUGCUCGGUCUUUUGUUCGGCACCUGGGUGUGCCAUCUCAGUCUUUAGAUUCUGUUAUGUCUAUUUCUACCCCGAUGGGGACUUCUGUUGUUAUUUCUGAUUUGUAUCGAGGGUGUUCGAUAAGUUUUGGGGAUAAGAUUCGUAGCGUUAAUCUUCUUCCGAUGUGUAUGCACGAUUUUGAUGUCAUUCUUGGGAUGGACUGGUUGGAUAAACACCAAGCCACUAUUGAUUGUCAGGCGAAGAAGGUUAUAUUUGGAGAUGUGAAGUCUCCGGAGUUCGUGUUUCAGGGUUCCCAGCCGAGUAGGGUGUUGAAGUUGAUUUCAGCUUUGAAGGCUGGGAAGUUGGUAGCAAAGGGUUGUGAGGGGUAUUUGGCGUUUAUGAAGGAUACCUCUAAGGGUGAGUCCCGUAUUGAGGAUGUUCCAAUUGUUCGUGAUUUUUCCGAUGUGUUUCCUGAGGAAUUGUCAGGGUUGCCACCGCAGCAUGAAGUGGAGUUUUCUAUUGAGCUUGUUCCUGGUACGGAGCCUGUCUCUAAGGCACCGUAUCGGAUGGCACCAUUGGAGUUGCAGGAGUUGAAAGAGCAGUUGCAGGAACUGUUAGAUCGUGGUGUGAUUCGGCCGAGUGUUUCGUCGUGGGGUGCUCCGGUCUUGUUUGUAAAGAAGAAGGAUGGGUCUAUGAGGCUGUGUAUAGACUACAGAGAGUUGAACAAGAUCACCAUCAAGAAUUGGUAUCCAUUGCCGAGGAUUGAUGACUUGUUUGACCAACUUCAGGGGGCAAAGUAUUUUUCGAAGAUAGACUUGAGGUCGGGCUAUCAUCAGUUGAGGGUGAGGGAUGAGGAUAUCCCUAAGACAGCUUUUCGCACUCGCUAUGGGCGUUACGAGUUUUUGGUGAUGCCAUUCGGGUUUACUAACGCUCCGGCGGUGUUUAUGGAUUUAAUGAAUCAGGUGUUCAGAGAGUACUUGGACCAAUUUGUCAUUGUCUUUAUUGAUGACAUUUUGGUUUACUCCAAGUCUAAGGAAGAACAUGAGGAGCAUCUUCGCACAGUGUUGGGGAUUUUGCAGAAUGAGAAAUUAUAUGCUAAAUUCUCUAAAUGCGAGUUUUGGUUGGAGUAGGUUGCAUUUUUGGGACAUGUUGUUUCUGCUGAAGGCAUUAAGGUGGAUCCUGCGAAGGUUGAGGCUAUCACUAAAUGGCCGAGACCUACUACGGUAACAGAGAUUAGGAGUUUCUUGGGUUUGGCAGGGUACUAUAGGCGAUUUGUGGAAGGAUUCUCUUUGCUUGCCUUACCAUUGACUCAGUUGAUGAGAAAGGGCGUGAAGUUUGUGUGGAAUGAGGAGCGUGAGAAGAGUUUCGAGGAGUUGAAGAAACGACUUGUGACAGCCCCUAUACUUGCAUUGCCGUCGGGGACAGGAGGCUACCAGAUUUAUAGUGAUGCUUCUAAGAAGGGUUUGGGGUGUGUUUUAAUGCAACACAGUAAGGUGAUUGCUUAUGCUUCUAGGCAGCUUAAAUCUUACGAGGUGAAUUACCCCACACAUGAUUUGGAGUUGGCAGCGGUGAUCUUUGCCUUAAAGAUUUGGAGGCAUUAUCUGUAUGGAGAGACUUGUGAUAUCUUCACCGAUCACAAAAGUCUUAAAUACAUUUUCACUCAGAAGGAGCUCAAUAUGAGGCAGAGGCGUUGGUUGGAACUUCUAAAAGACUAUGAUGCUAGGAUUCAGUAUCACCCGGGGAAGGCAAAUGUGGUUGCAGAUGCUCUUAGCCGAAAGAGUUCAGGGAGUGUAGCAGCCCUAAUUACACAACCUCAACUUAUUUCGGAUAUGAAGUGGCUCGAGAUGGAAUUGCAUGUACGAGGUUCAGAUGGGCAUUUGGCUCAUGUUGUGUUUUCCUUCCGGCAGGUAAUCAGGGGAAUCAAGGGCAAGUGUGAUGAGAGCUCCAUUCAUUCCAAUGAUUUAGAAAUAUUCUGUUUAGACUUGAUGUGUCAGUUUACUUGGAAUUGUAAUAAUUAUUUUAGAUUGUGGUUUGAGACAAUUGGAGAUUUAUUAUGGUUGACUUGUGGUAUUUAUCAGUUAUUAAGACUAUUCCUUUGUGGCUUCGAGCCUUGCUAUUAAAUUCAUCAGUUUUGUUAUGUUUUGAGUAACCGUCUCUUUCUAUUUCGGAAAGGGGGUGUUACAAUAUCCGUAUGAUGGUACAAUCAUUGGUGGACCCCACAACGGAGGUACUGUCGUAGUUUUAAAAACGACUAAAAUAUUUUCAAAAAUAACGGUGAAAGUUUUACCGUUAAAACUGUUUAAAUACCCAGUAGUAAAAGUACAGUAAUACGCGUGGUUAUAUAGUAACACACGGUAUUGAUUAUUGAUACUUACGUGAGAAGUCACUUAGUUAUACUCAAUUAUUGCUAUAGUAAUUGCUGCAUAAUAUCUCUCAUAUUAUUGAUUCAAUUAUUGUCACAGUAUCAUCUGCAUAAUAUUUUAUAUUAUUAAAUUAAUAAUUGAGACGACAAAGUUAUUCAUAUUAUUAUUUGUAUUAUUGACGAUGUCUAGAAAGUUCUGUCGAGGAAAGGGGUUUGGUCACCUAAUUGCGCGCCAAUAGGGAGAAAUCCUUAUCGGAAAACCCCCUCUUUCCUGGGAAUGAUCUAGUUGUUAAAUAUUAUGAGUUAUAAUAUUAAUGAUGAAUAAGUUCGUGUUGAUUAAAGAUGAAAUUUAUAUUUCCAUUGUGUUGGGAUUAUUAGUGUUAGUGGAAAUCGACAUCUAUUCCGAUAAUAAUUGAUGUCUGGAGGUUAUAUUGACCAAUCGGGUAAUUAAUCAGAUAAAUGAGCAAUUAAUUACUAUUAAUUCACAUGCUUAUAACUAUUUGUUCACAUGUGUGUACUAUUGAUUCACAUGCAUAUACUAUUAGGGGAGGUGGUGCAAGAUUGAUAAUACUUGCAUGACUAAAUUAAAAAUGGAGGUAUAGAUGAAUGUACAUUACCAUAAUUAUUUUUUUCACAUGUCUAGAACUAUUGAGUCACAUGAUUGUACUAUUGAUUCACAUGAUAUACUAUUAGCGGAGGUGGUGCAAGUUUGAUAAUACUUGCAGGAUUAAAUUAAAAAUGAAGGAAAAGAUGAAUGUAUUAUACUGUAAUAUUUCGAGCCCCAAAACGUGCAAUUAUCGAAACUAUGUUUUCCUAUAAAUAAAAGCUCAUUCUUCCUUCAUUCUCACCAAUUCACUAAGACUCACAAGAGCAAUUAUAGAGAGAGAAGCUAUAGAGAGAAAGAAGAAGAGAAGUCAGCUACUUCACUAUUUCAGUAUCGUGUCUUCUUCUGAGGUAAGGAGUAUUAUUUCUUUCGUAUUCGUAAGGGAUAUUAAUUUUGUUCAAUAUUCGUAUGAAAUAUUAUUUUCUUCCAUACUCUAUAGUAUGUAAGUAAUAUUAUUUCGUUUUGUAUACCUAGUUCUACACUCAUUUUGUUGAAGUAUUGCUUCUAUAUUCCAUGAAAUUAGUAGAAUAUCCUUGAUAUUUGCGCUUCAUCCAGUAUCUUUUCAUGAAAAAAUUAUUCUGGGCAUUCUUGAUAAUUAUUGAUCUUUUCAUGCCGAAAUACUAUUCACGAGUUACUAUUCACCCGAUUACUAUUCAAUCGAAUAUUAUUCACUCGGGUAUUAACUUUUCAUGUCAUAGUACUAUUCACGAGGUACUAUUCUCGAAGUACUAUUCACAUGGUACUAUUCACGGGGUACUAUUCACCUAAAAAAUUAUAUUUCUUUUCUGUCCAAAUUAUUUUUGAUACAUGAAUAUUAUUCUUGAAUUUUACUCCACAAAGCAGUAUCAUAUUGACAAUUUAGAUAUUUUUAAACUCUAAAUAAAUUUAAAGUCUUUAAUAUUUAUCCUUUAUUUCGUUUGAUUAAUGUUUAUAUCAUUGUCAUCAUCAUCAUGCUUAUAUUGUGAUGAAAGUCAUCUUUGGCUUCAUGCAAAGAUGGACUGUUGAUUAUUGGUUUUACAGUUGUAUAUCUUUGGCUUACGUGCAAAGAUGGACUGUUGAUUAUUGGUUUUACAGUUGUAUAUCUUUGGCUUAUGUGCAAAGACGAACUGUUGAUUGAUAGCUUUGGCCCGUAGUGCAAAGAUGGACAGGUGUAUGACAUGAUCAUGACCACUGGUGAUAAUAAAGAAUAUCCUUGGCCCGUAGUGCAUGGAUAAUUCGAUGAUGUGAUUGGCAGGAUCAUGACCAUUAGUUAACAGUUGAAUGUCUUUGGCCGUAGUGCACUGACAAGCAAUUGAUUGGUAUGAUCAUGACCAUUGGUUUUAUAGUUGAAUAUCUUUGUCCCGUAGUACAAAGAUAGACAACUGAUUGGUAUGAUCAUUGUUAUUACAUUAGCCUUUGGGCUAAGGAUAUUGAGUAAACGUUCUAUUAAGCCUUUGUGGCAAAGAGAAACUGUUGAUUUACAUGAUUAUAAAUAUGAAUUGUGGAUUUAACUAUAAUCGUUGGUGGUUCAGGUGAAGGCAGAUGAUGAGAAUUCUUUUUGUCUUGGGUAUAAUAAAGAACUGUUGAUAAGUAUUGCAGGAAUGAAAUAUUAACGAUGGACUUUUAAUCUAGAGGAGAUAGUAGACAUUAUGUUCUACUUGACUUUUCUAAUGGAUUGCUUAUUCCGCUGCAGUUGUUGAUCUAAAACUUGUUGUCUAUUAUAUUCUAUCAGUUGUUAUACUGUUGAAGGCUAAGGAUAAUUUAUUCUGCAUUAUCUUGGUCAUAAUAUUUCUUACUGGGCUAGUUGAGCUCACCCUUUUCUUUCACUGUUCUCUUCAGGAAAUGAGAAUAUAGCUGGGACUAGUCGGGGAACAGAGUGACGGUCCGAGAUGGUGGCUAUAGUAGUCCUCACUAUUUUAUGAAAUAGUGUGAUAAUAAAUAUAAUAAGGACUUCAUUUGAGUUUGAAUACUGUCUAUAAGACAAUAUUCGUAUAAAAACUCUAAGCUACGCUGUUGUCGUAUUGUAUUAAAGAAGUUUGUAUUUGAUUUCUGUACCAUGUUUUUGGUGACUCAGAAUGGGUGAUGUAUACCUAUUUUGGAGGCGUCACAACCCCAAUUACAAGUAUCAACCACUUCUCCCUAGUUUGUAAAUUUCUUAUUUCUUCUUUUAAACACUUCAAAUCAUUCUUCAAAUUUACUUUCUUUUUUUCCAUUUUCGAUACGUACACUUCCAAGUCAUGAGCUUUCUCCUUCAUCAUCUGUAGGUCAAUUUCAAUGCUCCUCAAAUUCAAUAGACCCGAAGAAUUCUCAGCAUCUUCUAACAUGUGGAUGGAGUCAAUCCAUUGAAAAAACCACAAAAUGUUUGCAUCUGUAGGAAAUUAAACAAACAAUUACCACGAUUGUAUAUAAAAAUUUAAAUUUUAUAUCAGGGUAAAUACAAGAACUUACACCAUAAUUUGAACAACCAUAAAACUUCCUCCCUACACUGUUGCCCUUUGACGAUGUACAAAUUCUUGCUCGUUUCCCACACCCACAAUAUCUUGGUGAUGAAAUACCACUAACUCCAGUGGAUAUUGAACCGUCCCCAAACUUUUGGUUGUUACUUUCUUUAGAUUGCUUCCCCUUUUCAUUCCUCACGAAUUUCUGAGAUGAAAGGCCACUGAACGCGAAAGAUGUGAGCGAGAGAGAGAGAGAGAGAGAGAGGACUAUUAAUGGAACCCUAACUUUUUGCCUCAAUUUACCGAACCCUCACUUGUGGAUAUAUGAAAUUUCUCAACUUUAGAUGAGAGUGGGAGACGAAGAUGGAAAUGAAACUUAGCUAAUCUGAAGGAUCUGUUUUGUCUUUUAAUUUUUCUGGAGGAAAUGAAUUGUUUCGUUAUAAAGAUUAAUCCUUGCGAAAUAAUAACAGCUAGGCUCGUGGUGCUUGGGGGGUCAUAGGAUCAAAGUGUCAAACUGGUGGUUUUGAAUUCGAAUUGGUGGAGUCACAUUUUUGAGAUAAAAUUGGAAAAUGGCCAAGUCGUCCACGUGUAAAUUUAAAUGAAAAUUGCUCCAUCAGAUCUGCCACGUAGGCAGGUCAACGCACAUGUGACGUCUGGGGGCUCAAAGUCAAAAUUUUUUAAUAGAAAGAAACUCAAUUUACGUUGACCAAUAGAAAAAGACUCAAUACCUAAAAACCCUAAAAAAUUAGUGAUCAACUUUACAUUUUACCCUUUUUCUUUUGUGGAGUAUAUGACAAGGGAUUUCAUUACUAUUUUGUCUGUAUCACUUAUAAUUUCAAACAAGUGACGAUCAAAUUCAUCAUGUACCAUGAAUUAGUCAAUAUAAAUAAUUUCUCUUUUCUUUAUGUUUCUAUAUAUUUCCAUCACUCAAAUAUGAAGUAACACACUUAGACAUAAUUUAUUAUUGAUAAUUUUUAAAAUAUAAAAUAUAAAUAUAUUAUUAAUAUUAAUUGUGUAUAAAUGUGUAUUGUAAAUCAUAUAUUCAAUUUACAAAAAAAAUAAUCAAGAUUCUCAUUUUUGUAGGUGAAAGAUAAUAUGUUGUGCUAUUAAUACGAGCAUCUUUUAUAGUUUUUGUAUUUACUUUUAGUUUAAAAUUUUUGUAGGANNNNNNNNNNNNNNNNNNNNNNNNNNNNNNNNNNNNNNNNNNNNNNNNNNNNNNNNNNNNNNNNNNNNNNNNNNNNNNNNNNNNNNNNNNNNNNNNNNNNUACAGUGUUUUGGGUGUGAUUUGGGUACGUAUAACAAAACAUGUAUGUACAGUCUGUGCAGACUGUACUACCAUUUUUUGGUAUAGGUAUUCAAAUCAUGCUCAAAACAUUGUAUUAUGAAAAAAUUUCAGUUCCAUAAAAUAUUAAAUAUUUUUUUUAGUUGUUUUAAAAAAAGCAAAAAAAAUUAAAAAAAAUUUGGGUCCGUGAGUCCGGACCUGAUCCAUUAUAUAUAUAUAUAUAUAUAUAUAUAUAUAUAUGUUAAUGCUGUAAAGUUGUAAAAAAGAAUCUAUUCUUACAACAAAUUAUCAUCGUCUAUCCGAAUAUCUAACGACUAAUAUUGCUCCCGUCCCCAGUACUAAACUAGUUAUAAGGAUUCAUAAAUUAGUUACCAACAAUACAAAUAAAUUAAAAUUAAUCCCAUGCCAAAAAAUCUGUCCAGCAGACCUCAUCAUCUUUGAGCUGCCAUUAAAAAAUCCUCCUUCCUUUUUCUACUAUGACUGUUAUGCAUUUAUAAUUUUGUAAAAACAUUCCAAAACCAAAAGCAACUCAAGAUGGUUGUUUAUUUCCCAAUUAUUUUUUUCCCAUGUAUUUAAUGGAUAUAAUACAGCAAAGUUAGGUGAAAAAAAAAAUUGGUGUUACUUUUGCGAUAAUUUUUCCCUCGAAAUUAAAGGAUAAAUACUACUCCCUUCAUUCAAAAGUUAAUGAUAUAGUUGUAAAACUACGACUUUUAAAGAUACUUUUAUGUUCACAAAUAUAGCUUAUUAUUAUGGCUAAGAAUUCAGAUGUGUGGUUUGAUAGUGAAAAAGUAAUGACAAAUUAUAAACAUUGUGUCACUUUAUAGUUCUAAAAUAUAAAUGUAUCUCUAAUUUUAGAACGGGCUAAAAAGAAAAAUGUAUCUGAAACAGAGGAAGUAUAUUUUAUCCUUGUGGUAUAAGAAAUAAGUAGUACCUAAAAUAAAAAUGCAUACUGAAUACACAAUAAUAUUUUAACUGUGACAUGAAAUAAAAUUUCCAAAAGAUUAGCUAGGAGGAGAAAAACAAAAACUAAUCUUAAGAUAUGAAAACUCAACAAUCAACUGAAAAAGGUCAACAUAAUUAACAUGACAUGAUUUCAUCAAAUGAGAGGAAUUUUUUAACAAGUUUCAAACUUUUUUCUUCUUAAAAAGCUUCCAUCCUUGGUGGAACAGGGGCCUUAAUGACCUGCAAUAUUUGCACCACAUCUGCCAUAGAAGGCCUAUCUGAUGGCACAUGAGAAGUGCACACUAGAGCCAAUUUCAGCACCGGCAAAACCUCCUCCUCCGGGUAAUCCCCCAUGUUCUGAUCAACACAAUCUAAGACAUUCCCUUGUUCAAGCAAAAUUCUCACAUGAUCAUUCAAUAUUACCACAUUGUCUUCGCCAUAUUCAAUCGGCCUUUUGCCUGUCACAAGCUCGAGAAGAAGUACCCCAAAGCCAUAAAUGUCACAUUUUUCGUUGACCCUUAAGCUCUGGCAGGCUAAUUCUGGGGCCACAUAGCCUAAUGCACUAUGAAAUCUGUUGCUUACAACGUGCUUUUCGAGCUUCUUUAGCAGCCUUGUUAGGCCAAAGUCCGAUAACUUUGGAUUGAAAUCUUGGUCUAGUAGAAUGUUGCUAGGUUUUAUGUUGUAGUGAAUGAUUGGGGGGCAAAACGAAUGGUGCAAAUGUGCAAGCCCUUUUGCUGUUCCAAAAAUGAUCUUGAACCUAUUAGGCCAAGAAAGGGGGGGAAUUGAAGGCGGCCUUUGGCGGAGUUUGGCUUGUAAGCUCCCAUUUGACUCAAAAUCUGAUACCAGAAGCUUUAACUGAGGAGUCCAGUAAUACCCUUUUAGUGCAACUAAAUUUGGGUGCCUAGCUUUCCCUAAAAUUCGAACUUCUCGAUCAAAAUCUUCUUGAUUCUGAAUUAUAUUCGAUGUUUCAAGUUUCUUGAUUGCAACAACAUUUCUACCUUCCCCUCCUAACGAAGCCUGAUAAACCGUUCCAAAAACCCCUCCCCCGAUUUCAUCUGCCUUGUUGGGUAAAGCUUCUGUGCCACCAGGCCAAUCCGGGGUAUUUUUUGAGUCAAACCACAUGAGCUUUCCUGAUGACAAAUUACUCCCAGAUCGCGCUGAGUUUGAGCACGUGCUCAUUUCCAAUGAAUUAUCCACAAAAGCAAGCCUCCUUCGCGCAGAAAUGUUAAGCAAACUUAUGACUAAUACCCCAGCUGCAAUAAGUAUUGCAGCCGAUAUAGAUAUUAUAGCAGAAACACUGAGGAACCUGUGGUGUGGAAAGUUUUUAGCUCUUAACGACCCAUUUCUGGCGUUGCCAUCGCCAUUUUGGGAGCCAUAGGCAAAUGGAUCAAGCACUAGAGGCUUGUGGACAUUCAUUUUACAAGGACCCUUUAACAAUGGUGAGCAAAUACCAAGAUUUCCAUCCAGUGCACUAGGAUUUAAGCUUGGAAAUAUACCUCCGAUAGGCAGUCUACCUGUUAGCCUAUUGUAGGAUACAUUUACAGCAAGAAGAUUUUCCAUCAUUCCCAACUCUUGUGGUAUUUCUCCAGUUAGCUGAUUGAACUCUAGUUUUAGAAUCUUGAGUUUUUUCAGCAUUGAAAUGGAUUUCGGAAUGGAACUAGUCAAGUUAUUGUCUGACAAGCUCCUGUAAAAAAGAAUAUCACAAUUAGAACGUAGAAAAUGUUUUUUACAAAUAGAAUAUAAAUUAUGUGUUACAUAUUCUGUUCGUAUAGGAUCCAGACUCGGUGAAGUUUGUCGAGUUCUAUUUAUGAAUACGUUUCAUGCAUGGGUUUAGCACAGAGUAGCAUUUUAACUUUUUAAUACUCCUCUGUUCCACAAAAAGAAAAUUUGCGAAUGAGACACUAGAAAUAGUAUUUUUGCAAUAAUUAAGGAUUUGACACCGGAAAUCUCGAAAUCCAUUUAUUAGAUAAUCUACGGAUGAAUUUCGAGAUAUCAUUCAAGUUGAAGUUCAAUACAAGAAAAAGUUGUAUGUGUAUAACACCGAUCUAGUUACUAUGAAGUUAACUUUAUGGUAAGUUGAUCAAUUGAUCAAUACAGUGCUGACAUGCAGAGAGAGAUCAGCUCCCGACCUGCGUAUCGACACUGUAUUGGUCAAUUUACUAAAGUUAACUCCAUGCUAAUCACUCCCGUAAAACACAAAGUUGCAUUACUAAUAAUAUAAAAUAAUGCAAAGAAAAAUGCAACAAUGCGUUAUAGAAUGCGACUUUUUUUAUAUGAAUGUGAUCGAUGGUUAAGGUGUGCCAACUUCACUGAAUCCAAAUCCCUUUUUCAAUAAAACGAGAGAAAGAGAGAGACUUACAGCAAGUAGAGAGAUGAACAAUUCCCAAUCUCUUCAGGCACUGGACCUGACAAAGAAUUCCCAUCCAACUGCAGGAUUCCAAGGCUACCCGAAUCACAAAUAUCACCAGGGAUUGAUCCAAACAAGGCGCUAUAACUGAGAUCUAAUACGGUUAGAUUCUUCAAGUAUCCAAGCUCAGGAGGCAUUAUUGACUGAAGAUUAUUAUAUGACAAAUUCAAGUAUCUCAACUUGGAAAAUAAGCCCAUUUCAACUGGAAUGUCGCCUGUCAGCUGGUUCCCAGAAAGAUCCAUCAUUUCAAGUGCCUCAAAGAAUUUACUCGAGCCACCAGGAACGGAACCAGUAAGUUCAUUUCUCGAAAGAUCAACUUGGUCUAAUCCUAAACCAAACAAUCCAUCUGGUAUGCUGCCAUUGAAGAAAUUUCCACUCAAACGAAUCACCCAUAACUUACUAGAGUACAUAAGUGACUCUGGAAUUCCUCCGGUUAAUUCGUUGUCAGCUAAAUUUAAGUAAGUUAAUGAGUUGAGAUCACCCAUUGUUGAAGGGAGAAACCCCUUCAAUCUGUUGCCCGAGAAAUCUAUAUAUUCAAGGCUGCUCAUUUUGCUUAUCCAAUCCGGGAAAUUCCCAUCAAACACAUUGCUAGAAAUGCUUAAAAAUGUAAGAGAAUUAAGCGCUUUUAGUGACUCUGGAAGUUCUCCCGUGAAAAGAUUGUCACUAAAAUCUAGUCUAACCAAAUGUAAGCAUAGACCGAUAUCGGCUGGCACGAAUCCCGAGAAUUUAUUCCCUUGCAACGUGAGCUCUUUCAAGUUAUGUAUUGCUGCAACACCAGCCGGGACAGGACCGGUUAGUGCAUUAUGCGAAAGAUCAAGUAUUCGGAGCCUAUUCAGCGACCAAAACCCCGGAAAAAAAUCCGAAAAAUGGUUGUUGGAGAGAUUAAGGUUAUUCAAAGUGGUGCAUCCAGCCAAUGUACUAGGAAUUGGACCCUCAAAAAGAUUGUUUGCUAGUGAAAGUUGCCGGAGUGAUGAACAAUUUACAAAUAAACUGUUGGGUAAUGAACCUGAUAAUGAGUUCUCUGAUAUAUCAAGAAAUCUUAUUGAGCUCAUCAUUUUAAUUAGAGAAUUCGGAUUAAUAGUACCCGAAAGACAAUUAUGACUAAGGUUUAGCCUUUCCAGACUAGUAAUAAGGUCCAGCUGGGGACUAAUGGUACCACUAAAAUUGUUGUGUGACAAUGAUAAUACCUUUAAAUGUUGCAACUUUUGGAGGCCUCUUCCUAUUUUUCCUGAUAAACUUAACCCCUCUAGUGAUAAUGUAGAAACUCGGCCGGUCACCGGAUCGCACUGCACAUAUUUCCAGGCACACGGCGUGUUAUCAUCCUCGUUCCACGUGCUCAGGGACGAGAGCGGGUCGUGGAGGUCGGAUUUGAAGACGAUGAGGCCUAAUACGUCGUCGUUGAGGCCGGAGGAGUCGUCGCCAUUGAAACCUUUCAUUAAAGUGAAUGAAAACAUGAAGAAUAUUUGGAGAUAGCUCAUUAUUAUCAUCAUUUUCAGCUCUCUGUUUUUCUCUCUUUGUGUGCGCUUGAAAGUUGGCUAUUCAAGACAUUGUGUGGUCUUGCUAGUAGAUAUUGUUACAUAGCAUGACUAGGGAGAGUUACUAGAUGAGAAUGAGUAAAAAUGGAUGGAAAUCUAAGAAGAAUAUGUUAUGGUAGAUUUAAAAUAAUUCUUUACAGAAAUGAUGAGACAAAAUUUUCUACUGACAAGUUUUCUGUCAUUUGUCAUUUGGGUCAUCCUCCUCUUCUUGAUUUGCUAUAUGAAAUUCUAGGUAAGUACCAUUUGAACUGUGUAAUUUUAAUAGGAAAUUGAUAUUUCCACACGUAAAAAUGAUAGUAAAUGGGUUGCACAACUAUAUGAGAGAAACCUUGUGAAAAAUAUCAAUUUUUACUUGUAAAAAUAACAAUUCUCUUUUAAUAAAUACUCCAUGCAUGUGUCUCAUAAAAGCAGUCUCAUUUGCAAAAUUUAAAUUUAAAAAUAUUAAGGACGUAUUUUUAUUCCAUAUUAUUUAUCCGGUUGUUAGUUUGGUGGUAAUUAUAUGAUGAUAAAAAUCAGAGAAUUGAUAUUUCCACAAGGGAAAUUGAUAUUUUCACAAUGCUUCCAAAUAGUAAACGGGACCCACAUUCAUGAGAGUCAGGUUUUGUAAAAAUAUAAAUUUUCUAAAAUUAUAAUGAUCUAUUUGAAGAUAUUGUGCACUUUUAUAAAAAAGCUGAGAAAUGAGACUCUUUUCGUGAGACGAGCAUAACUUUUUUUUCUUUCUCAUCUUUCCCACUUUACCACAAGUAUUCACUGCAUAAGUUUGUUUUUGUGUGAGCAUAAUUACAAAUUUGGUUGGCAUGGUGAAGAUCCAAAAGUUAGUCACGGGUGCCUUGGGCUCAAAAAGGUGAAUUGUACUAUAGGCUAUGGUUCCUUUCUAUCCACACCUUUAUAUUUCUAACAAAACAGAAAAAUAAUUCGGUUGAUUAGGAUAAUAUACUAUACUAUAUAUCACAAGUGUAAUAGUUUAAACUAGCUCAAUGGUGAUUGGCGGAGUCGGUGAAGCCGUGUUAGUGAGGUAUUUACAGAUUCUUUCAAUCAAUUUUUAAGCUAGCUAAAUAUUUAAAUAGAUUAUUGAAGAUUUAUUUAGUUAUGAUUAUGAGAAAAAAUAAUUAUUUUAAUUCUAUUUAAAUUAAUAAUGGAAUUUUAUAUUAGCGUUUAUAUUGACAAGAUUUGUUUUGAAUUCUAAUUCAAAUAGAAUUAUGAAACUCAAGUUUUAAUAAAUUUUAAUUUAAUUAUGACAAUUAGCUACGAAUGAAUCCACUAUAAUUUUCAAGUAAAGUUACGGUUAAUAUGUUUCAAAUUCACAUAUAUUAUUAAUUAUUAAUAGAAUUAAUCAUGUGAUUUGAUAAAAUUUCAAAUUUAAAUAAAUUAAAUUAGUUAGGAUAUUAAUUUAAUAAUAAAAUUCACGACUAAUAUUAAUAUAAUUAAAUUGCGUAAUAUAUUAAGAGGUGUUUUCGGCAUCUUAAUAUUUUAAUAAAAUUGUAGCAAUAAAAUUAUCUUCUACAAAUUUAUUAAGAUAUAUAUAAACUAAAUAAAACUACUAAAAAGAACAUGUAGUAAUUAUUGAUGGAUAACAUAUAGCAAUUAUUCAAAUUUGUAGAGUAUUUAUACUAAUUUGAAUAAGAAAUACAAAUAUCUUUUUUUUUCUAUUCCUCUUAAAGAUAGGAAUAUUUUUAAAUUUGAAUAAUAUUUAAUUGAUAUAAAUUUGGAUAGUACUUAUACUGAAUCCAAAAUUGGUGAAACCAACCCAAGCAAGCGCGGUAUGGAUAAUGGUUUAUUAUAUUAUUAAAUAAAUAAAAAUUAAUUAAUAUUUUGAGAAGAUAAUUGUAGUUAUUAGAUUAUUAAAUAUAUAUUUAAAUAAUAUAAUAUUAUAUUAUAUAUUAUAGGUUACUUUUGAUCAAUUAUUAAGCUAAACUUUUGAAUGGAGUGUAUAUUUACUUAGUUAUGUUUAUGAGAAAAUAAUUAUUUUAAUUUUAUUUAAUUUUGUAUUGACAUUUUAUAUUAGUAUUUAUUUUGAAAUUCUAAUCAAAAUAGAAGUAUGAAACUCAUGCUUCAAUAAGUUUAAUUUAUUUAUGACAAUUAGUUAGUAAUGAAUUUAUUAUAAUUUUUCAACUAAUUAUACAGUAAUUAUGUUUUAAAAAUAUUCACAUAUAUUAUUAAUACAAUUAAUCAUGUGAUUUGAUAAAAUUUCAAGUUCAAAUAAAUUAAUUUAGUUAGGAUAUUAAUUUAAUAAUCAAGUUUACAACUAAUAUUAAUAUAAUUAAAUGGUGUGAUAUAUCUUUUUAGUGUGUUUAAUUGUUUGUUUGUAAUUGUUUUGCAGAUGAAUUUUUAUUUUUAGUGAAGUGUUUUUUACCAAUUUUGUAAUAAAAUUGGUAAAAUAAAAAAAAAAUCUUUUAGAAGUUAUUUUUUCUAUUGGAGAUUGGUUUGGCUUCUUUUGAAUACUUUAUAAAUUUAGAUAGUAUAUAUUUAAUUAUUAAUUAUUAUAAAUUUGUAUAAUACUUAUACUAAUUUGAAUAGGAAAGAAAAAAAAUUUCUUUUUUUCUAUUCCUCCUAGAGAUAGGAAUAUUUUUAAAUCUAAAUUUAAUUGAUAUAAAUUUGGAUAGUGCUUAAUGCUAAUAUGAAUUAGGAAAUUGAACCAAAAAAUUGGUAAAACCAAACCAAACUAAACCAAAUUUGUGCUUUUAAUUAUAUAGUUUAUUGCUUACGGACUAUUUUAUUCCAUAAAAUUUUUAGAAUUAACAAAUUUUUUUAAAAAUAAAGAUAUAUACCGAGAGAUUAUGAUCUAUGAAAAAUUUCCUACUAAUGUCAAAUUUUGUGAUUCAAAAACAAAAUAUAAUCUAUUUUUUUUCUUCCAACCUUACCAAGUGAUUCACACUCGAAUGAAAUGCCUCGUAUAAAUAUUUUUAAUUAUUAAUUUUAAAAAUAGUCAAUUUAACUGUUAAAGUUAAACUAUGACGUUUAUUACGAAAUAAAAUGAGUAAUAAAUAGUCUGUAAAAUAAAAUAACGAAUUAAUUAUAAGAUAAAAUAAUCCCCAAUAAUAUUAAAUUAUUACAAAUAAUUUUACACCAUUCCUCACUUUUACAAAUAAAUGUAGCAUGAAAUUUACUAAUUUUGCUACCAAGUGAACGUAACAAAAGUCAAAGUGAGACAUUUUUUUUUGAAUGGAGGGAGUAUGUGCUUGCACUAGCCUCUUAAUCAAUAUUAUUUUGAACUUUAAUCACAACCAAGGAUCAAUUUAUUUGACAAAAAGAUUCCUUUUGAAGAAAACUUCAAUAAUAAUAAUAAUAAUAAUAAUAAUAAUAAUAAGGACAAACUCCCUCCUCCCCAAAAAUAUGACCAAAUUAUAAUUUACUCACUUGUUGAAAAAAGUAAAAAUAUUGAAAAUAAAAUAAAAUAAAGUUAAAAUUUAUCUUUAGUAGCCCCACAAGAUUAUAUUAUAAAAUGAUCAGUACUUUUUUAUUUUUUUAUACUAAUAAACUCCACUAAAUGACAUAUUUACCCUUCACUUUAUUUAUUUUAUCUGAUCUUUUUGAGGAUAAUUUUUUUUAUAUAUUUAGUCAUUCAUUUGAUUAAAGAAAACGCAAUCUAUGGGAUGGAAUAAUACAAAGCUACACAAUAAUUAUUAGACCAAUAGCACCCUCACAUGAAAAUGACUAGUUUUGUCUAUUUGUGUUUGAUAAUUCCCUUUCUCUCAGCUCUUGAUGAAGGACCCUAUAAACUAGAAACCAUUAUGUGCUUGGAAAAGAAUGGGCUUCUUUUGUCUAUAUUUUCUUCAAUAAUCUCCUAUUUAUUUUUGUCACUUGCUGCCUGUUAUACUGGACACAUGCUCUGUGUUUGGUCCAAAAUGUUCAGUGUUCUGUGUUCACAUGUAUAUUCUUCAUUCCCAUUCAUCUUUGCACUUUGCUUGAGGGUUUAUAAAUUAAAUAGAUAGAAGAGAAUAGUAGUGAAAGUUAAUAAAAUAGGAAGUAAUUGCCACCAAAUUUAUGUGAGAAAAAGAAAGUUGUUUCUCUCUCUUGGUAUUUCAUCUUCCAAUUUCGCCCAAUACGCAAUUAGCGACAUAAAUAUUACUUUUAGCGACAUUCCAACGACACAAUUGUUUUUGACAAAUUUUAUUUUGUCGCUAAAUGUGUAUUGAGAUAAAUUGGAGGAUAGGUGUAAUGGAGACGUAGUUUAUGUUGAUAAGAAACGAAAGAAUGAAAAUAGAAGAAUUUUAAUGAGAAGAAACUAAAGAAUGAAAAUAAAAGAAUUUUAAUGUACAAAAUUCCAGAAAACUAGGGGAAAAAAUAUGGAUUCAACUUUUUAAUUUUUUAUUAUAUAAAUACGGGAAUUUUUAUUAUUUUAUAUAAAUUAUUUUUAAUUCACUGCGCACAUGAAUAAAUAUAUAUAGUUGGGAAUUACAAGUGAGAUAAAAUUUACAUUAUUGAUCAAAUAAAUAACGAGAAAAUGACUGGUAUAAUAAAUUAUCCCAAGACUUGAUUACUUAUUAAUAUUUCUCUCCAGACUACGACCCCCUUCAUUAUACAUAUUUUCUAAUUUUUUCAAUAAAUAUUUAUCGGCACAAAUAUUGUUUUUUGAUGUUAUUUUCAGCGACAUAAUUGAGUGUGACAAAUUUUAUUAUGUCACUAAUUGUUUGCGAUGAACUUAAAGGAUAAGGGUAAUUGAAGAGAUGCUAAUUCUUUUUCCCUGAACUUUUAAAUCAUAUUUUGAUUUAUAAGUGCAAUCUUGAUCCGUUAACAGCUUAAUUCGUAAUUUUCAAACAAACCUAACCUUAAUGAUAUUAAUGGCGGAUAAAGAAAAGAAAAUUAUGUUGUUUUUAUAUCUGAGAUCCGGUGGAAUAUUUAACAGUUUAAUAUAAAUAAUGUGAAGAAAGGUCCCAAGUUGAAGAAGUCGUGAAUGGCUUGUUCUUUAUUGAUAUGAUGCAGUCAUCUAUAUAUACAAAAGGAUAGCAAGAAAAUAGGCUGUAAUUCUAAUCUAAUUCUUAAAUUCACGCUUAACUAGAAAUUAAGAAAUUAGAGCUGUAAAUCUAAUCUAACUCCUAAACUCAUGCUUUGUAAAUCUAAUCUAUCUCCUAAACUCACGCUUAACCAUAUAUACGGUACAUUAAUAGAAUAUCUCAAUGAUAUCUCAAUACCCCCCUCAAGUUGGAGCAUGAGGAUCAUAAAUGCCCAUCUUGGAAAGCAGAAACUGAAAUUGACGUGUCCCCAAAGGCUUGGUAAAGAUGUCUGCAAGCUGAACUGUGGUAGGAACAUAUGAAGGGAGAAUAGUUCCAUCUUGGAUAGCAUCACGGACAAAGUGACAAUCUGCUUCAAUGUGCUUUGUUCGUUCAUGGAAGACAGGAUUCUGUGCAAUAUGUAAAGCUGACCGACUAUCACAGUAUAAACCAAUAGCAGCAGGAUGGUGAAUUCCCAAGCUAAGGAGAAGACCCUUCAACCAUUUCAAUUCACAAGUAAGAGAAGCCAUAGAGCGAUAUUCGGCCUCUGCCGAAGAACGGGACACAGUAGGUUGUUUCUUGGUUUUCCAAGAAAUCGGUGAAUGACCAAGAAACACAAGCCAACCUGUGAGAGAGCGACGAGUAAGAGGACAAGCUGCCCAAUCAGAAUCACACUAACCUGUCAAUGAGAGAGAGCUAUCAGCUCGAAGUAAAACUCCUUGUCCAGGAGAACCCUUCAAAUAGCGAACAACGCGCAAAGCGGCUUCCCAAUGUUCCUCUCUCGGUUGUUGUAGGAACUGUGAUAAAACAUGAACAAAGUAUGCCAAAUCAGGACGAGUGACCGUUAAGUAAAUCAAACGAAGGUAGUUACAUUUAAGUGUAGCUGGUUUGAUAUUGAAAAUGGGGUUAAAGUUUAUCAUAAUAGUAUCACAACCAUAAAUAUCAAGUCGGUGUUAAAGUUUGAUGACGUGUUCGUGUUAGCAAGUCAAGCGACUCAAGUGUAUUACGCUCCUAAUGUCGUAAAUACUCGAAGCCCCUGGUACACAGUAGUCACAACUAAAACACGUUCAUUUAAUGCUGAUAACAUGUUUGGUAUGGAUGAGGCAUUGCAAGAAGAUGUUAGCAACCCUUUGGCAGUAGUGUUUCAUGCUAAAGAUGUGAUGAGUACUGAUGUCAUUGACGUACCUGACGAUGAGGAUGUCGAGGCAAACGUACACAUGAAUGAUUAUGUAGUCAUUGAGGAUGAUAACGAUGAUGAAACUGAUCUCGAAACUGAGGAUGAGGAAGAUAUCGAAUCCGAGAAUGAUAUACACGUUGAUUCUGAUGGGUUUGAUGACGUACGUAAUUAAAAAUGAGCAUUCAUAUUAGUACAUACCACAUAUUGUUAAACCUUACAUAUUCAUAAUCUACCAAUUUGGUUAUUGCAGUAGGAUAUUCAUGGCUAGACAUAACGGUGGAGGUCGCCGAGGUGGUGGCCGAUCCGGUACUGGAGACGAUAGCCACGAUGGAGGCUCUUCUUUAGGCGCUAGUAAGUUAUCUUUAAGCUGCAUUAGUUACAAUGUUUAUUGACUCAGUUAAAUAUAAUUAUUACAUAUGCACCUCACCGACGACACCGAGGGACGAACCUCAAUAUCUUUGGUCGUCCGCCGGCAGCGCCACUUACAGUACUGGUGGAUGUCGAUUCUAGACAGUAAGUGUUAAUAUAUUGUUAAUAUUUCUGUCAGUUAUUGCAAAACACAAUUCACAUAACACAUAUUGUUAUAUUUUUCUGUAGUAUACUAGACCCAGUGGCUAAGCACACCCUACACGCGAUUUCUUGAUGCAUCUCUCGAGAGGGUGCAUGAGGUUCACCCAGUAUGGGCAGUACGAUGCCACUUUUAUGCAGACCAUCUUGCGGGAGUUCCACGUAAGUUAAGCAUAUUAUAUUAAUUACUACAUAGGUGUAUUAGGAUGACGAAAUCAAUUGUUCCUAAUUUAAAACUUUUGUUAUAGGUUUAUUAUAGAUUUAACCCGAGCAUCUCUCAGUCAGUUAGCGACGAUGUGAUUGAGCAUCAUGUCGCUGCGAAUUACUCCGGCUGGUUGUAUGAGAUGCGACAGAGGGCAGCCCGGGCAGUUGAGGACCAGCCCGGGACCACCAUCAGAGAUCAUCAGCUCACAUAGUCUCUGAUUUAGCCCGGGAGACUAUGUGCGCACUAGGAGGCUGAUGACUUCAAGAAAAAGUCAAAGCAGGCGAAGAAGAACCGUGGUCAGCUCCGGAUAGUACACACCACUGGUUCUCAAUCGUUCGAGGAGGCGAAGAUUGUAAGUGCAUUGUAUUUAGUUAUUUAGUUAUCAAGUUCUCACACAAAUACUUAAUACAUGUUUUAUGAAUAUUUUUAUUAGGCCUUGAGGAGGACCUUGGGCCGAGAUCCUACCAUUUUAGAGUUUUGGGAUCGAGCCCACAUGCCUAAGGUCGAGCGUGCUUUAUCUCAGGCAGCUUUAGCUAUACGGGUAAAACUCAUCUUACUAUUUAGCUUUUAGUAAUAUUCAAUCGUAAAUAAAAUGAUAUAAUUAACAUAUGUAUACAAAAUAAAUUACAGGAGCGAUUUUAGAGGCUUUGAGACGAGCGUAUAGCUGAAUUGGAGGCUAUUAGGAGGGGUUCUGAGCCGUUAGAUUCUGCCACCCCUCUUCCCAAUAUUGUAUUAGAUCGGGAUGAGGAGCUGAGACUAUGGGUCGCAUCUCAGGAUCCCCCUACUAGCAGUACCGGCAGAUAUCGAGUGUUGGGUCUGCCAAGGAUACCCGCAUAUACACUUCCUGGAGGUAAUAUUUUUUAUGUUUCACGCAAAUUAUCCGAAUUUAUCACAUUAUAUAAAUUAUUAUUAGUAAUCAAAUUUUUAUCUUUUUAUAGGCUCCAGCCAGCGUCCGAGAGCACAUGUCGGAUCAUCUUAUACGGGCGCUGGCUUGGAUGACGAUAUCUUCCGGCGGCUGAUAGGGGAUGUGUCGGAUAGAUUCGGUACCGAUCCGGUCUUUCAUCGUUAGCAGUUGCCUUCCAAUUCUCGUCUUCACCAUAUUGCUCAAGAGAUUAUAGCAGGGGCCUCCGCAGAGAGUGUGGGAUUACCGCGGGACCAGUUCGACGCUUGGAGCGGCGAGAUGCUCCGGAUGGUGAUCACACUCUUGGAGGAGACUUUUCGUCUGCCCCCGCCUACUCAGGUAUUCUUAUUAUUUAUGUUUUUUUCAAUUAAGGCUAGCUUGUUAAUUCUCAUAUAUAUAUAUAUAUAUAUAUAUAUAUAUAUACGGACUAAUGAUUUAUAUUUUUGAUUCUAUCAAAAGGGUGGCGAUGGCGAGCAGACUGGCGAUGACGAGCAGGCAGACGACACUGCUUUCCAUACACCAGAGCAGCGUUGUUCACCUCUGCCCGAUGAUGAUACUUUUCCUAGUUUAUAGUUCAUUUGUAUUCAUGUUAUUGUAGAACAUUUGUAUAUAUUAUAGUAUCUAAUUGCGUAUGUAUAAGUAUUGUAGAAUAUUUGUAUAUAUUGUAGUGUCUAAUUGCGUCUAUAUAAGUAUUGUAAAUUAUAUUGUUUAUCAUUUAUGGAACAUUAGCUUAUAUUUGUAAUUGGUUAGCUUAUAUUUAUGGAACAUUAGCUUAUAAUACAUUUUGGUGGAUAUUUGAAUGUGAAUGAUAAUAAGUUGAAGAUUACGUUUUGGUGGAUAUUACGUUUUAGCGCUACGUUGCAUAUUUGAAUGUGAGAUACAUGUUUAUAUUAUUGUGUAUUGGGUUGUGACAAGAUACAGAUACAUAGAUGGGUUUAAACACCUGAAAACUGAAAUUUUCAAAUCUGCAUUAAAAAAAUAGUUAAUUCCGACGGAAUAAGGUAUUUCCGACGAAAAUUCCGUCGGAUUUAACAAUUACCUAAUUUUUAAUAAAUACCGGUAUAUUUUAAUUUUCAGUCAGAAAUAAGAUAUCUCUGACGAAAAAUCCGUUGGAGUUACUAAUUAGCCAUUUUUAAUAAAUACCGGUUUAUUUUAAUUUUUGGUCAGAAAUAGGUUAAUUCCGAGGGAAUACGUCCGUCGGAAUUAAGGUAUAUUAUACUUGACGAAAAUUUUUGUCCUAUUUAUUCAGUCGUAGAUAGCUUAUGUUCGACGAUAUUCCGUCGGAGAUAAAUUCAUCGAAGAUAAGAUAGAUCCGACGGAAUUUUUGACUGAUCUUAUCUUCGACGCGUAUAUAUAAGACUGAAUUUCUGACGGAAUAUUCCGUCGAAAAUACUCUAUUUCCGACUGAAUAGGAUUAUUUCCGAGGGAAUAUUCUAUCAGAAUUAAGCUGUUUCCUUGUAGUGUGAUUUCAUUGGGAACUCUGGACUCUAAUGGAUGUGAGUUCAAAACUGGUGGUGGAGCCAUGAGAGUGAUGAAGGGUGCCCUAGUAAUAAUGAAAGGUUCAAAGGUUAACAGGAAUAUCUAUUGGAUGAUAGGGAGUACAGUCGUAGGUGGAGUUGUUGCCACUACAACUGAGGAUAUAGAUGAUACUACGCUAUGGCAUAUGCGGUUGGGGCAUAUGGGAGAACGUGGGAUGCUGGAAUUACAUAGAAGAAGUCUGUUGAAAGGGAUAAAGGCGUGCAAGUUAGAUUUCUGCAAGUUAUGUGUCUUGGGAAAAUAGUGUAAAGUGCAGUUUAAGAGUGCGGUGAACAAAAUGAAUGGAAAACUUGACUAUGUGCAUUCUGAUGUUUGGGGGCCAGUGAGAGUAGCUUCAAAAGCGGGAUCGCUGUAUUUCUUGACUUUCAUCGAUGACUUUUUGAGAAAGGUUUGGGUGUACUUCAUGCGACACAAGUCUGAGGUCUUUGAAAAAUUUAGGGUGUGGAAAGCUAAAGUGGAAAAUCAAACAGGGAGAAGAUUUAAGUGCCUCAAAUCAGAUAAUGGGACAGAGUACAAGUACGAGCCAUUUGUGAAGUUUUGUGAGGCGCACGGGAUAUAAUGUCACUGGACUGUUAGGAAGACCCCACAGUAGAAUGGGGUGGCAGAGAGAAUGAACAGAACUAUAGCGGAGCGGGCACGGUGCAUGAGACUAAAUGUAGGGCUUUCGAAGGAUUUCUGGGCAGAAGCAGUGAGUAUGGCAGUUUAUAUAAUAAAUAGAUCAUCGAGUACUGCUCUGGAUAAUAAAAUGGCACAAGAGGUGUGGACAUGAAAGAAAGUGGAUUACUCGAGUAUGAAGAUCUUCGGAUGUCCAGCCUACGUACACAUUCCGGGAGAUGAGAGAUCAAAGCUUGAUUCCAUAUCUAAACAGUGUAUCUUUCUUGGGUAUAAGAAAGGUGUGAAGGGGUACAAGCUUUGGGAUCCGAAGUCAAAGAAGGUAUUGAUCAUUAGGGAUGUGGUUUUUGAUGAGGCUUCCAUGGUUAAGACGCAACAGGAAGGUCAGAAAACCGAGACUGGUGAAGAAACCGACAAUCAGCAGCAGGAAGUUCAAAUUGAAUUGGAAAGUUAUGACACUGGAAAUUCACCGCCGGUGGAACAGGAAAAUCAGCAGCAGCAGGACGAAUGCAUAGCCGCAAGGAGACCCAGACACACUAUCAAACCACCGAAGAGGUAUAUUUUUGAUGAUAUGGUUGCAUAUGCUUUAUCUACUACUAGUGGGGAUCCGUCUAAAUUUCAGGAAGCUAUUGCUAGUUCUGAAAGGGACAGAUGGAUGGAGGCCAUGGUGGAGGAGAUGGAGUCAUUGAAGAAAAAUAAGACUUGGGGAUUGUCAGAAUUGCUUGAGGGAAAGAAACUAGUGAGGUGCAAAUGGGUGUACAUGAAAAAGGAAUCUGUAUCAGAAAAGGAAAAAAAGGUUUAAGGCUCGAUUGGCAGCAAAGGGAUACUCGUAGAGGAAGGGGAUUGACUAUGAUGAGGUGUUUUCUCCGAUAGUGAGAUAUACCUCAAUCAGGAUUAUUUUGGCAUUGGUGGCUAGCUAUGAUCUAGAGUUAGAGCAUCUUGAUGUGAAGACAGCCUUCCUUCAUGGUGAUUUAGAGGAAGUGAUAUUCAUGGAGCAGCUUGAGGGGUUCAAGCAGCCGGAGACUAAGCACAUGGUUUGCAGGUUGAAGAAAUCACUGUAUGGGCUGAAACAGUCUCCAAGACAAUGGUACAAGAAGUUUGAUUCCUUCAUGAUCCGGAUCGGGUUCACUCGGUGUGACUAUAAUUGAUGUGUUUAUGUGAAAAAUCUUGAGGAUGGUUCUUAUAUUUUUCUGUUACUGUAUGUGGAUGACAUGCUUAUUGCUAUAAAGAGUAUGGUUGAAGUCAACAGGUUGAAGAACUUGUUGGGAAAGGAGUUUGACAUGAAGGACUUGGGUGCCGCUAGGAAAAUCCUUGGGAUGGAGAUUCUCAGGGAUAGAAUAGCUGGUAAGAUGUGGUUGACACAGAAGAAUUAUGUGGAGAAAGUGUUGGAGAGGUUUAGUAUGGCUAAUGUUAAAUAGGUCAGCACUCCAUUGGCGAGUCACUUCAGGUUGUCUACAACACAGUGUCCGAAGUUGACUGAAUAAAUUCAGGAUAUGUCGAACAUGCCCUAUGCGAGCGCAGUUGGUUGUUUGAUGUAUGCGAUGGUGUGUACAAGACCCGAUUCUGCACAUGCAGUCAGCAUAGUGAGUAAAUACAUGGCAAAUCUAGGUAGAGAGCACUGGAAAGCUGUUAAGUGGGUGUUCAGAUAUCUGAGAGGAACUGCAAAUCAUGGGAUUAUGUUUGCAAAGCAACAGGCUCAGAUGUCAGUUGUAGGGUAUGUGGAUGCGGAUUACACUGGAAGGUUGGAUGAUUUGAGAUCUAUAAAAAGGUAUAUGUUUACACUAACAGGUGGAUCAAUUUGUUGGAGAUCCAUGGUUCAAUCUCUAGUAGCUCUAUCUACUACUGAAUCUGAGUAUAUGGCAUUGGUUGAGGCUGGCAAGGAAGCAUUGUGGUUGAAGGGUUUUGUGAAUGAGCUGGGCAUAGAUCAAGGUGGAGUACAGCUAUAUUGUGAUAGUCGGAGCGCCAUUACUUGGCAAAGCAUCAGGUGUAUCACGCAAGGACCAAGCAUAUUAGCGUAAGGUUUCACAAGGUGAGAGAGCUGAUAGCUACUCGAGAUGUCAUAUUGGAAAAUGUGCACACUUCUGAAAAUGNNNNNNNNNNNNNNNNNNNNNNNNNNNNNNNNNNNNNNNNNNNNNNNNNNNNNNNNNNNNNNNNNNNNNNNNNNNNNNNNNNNNNNNNNNNNNNNNNNNNUGACCGUGGACAAGUUCAAGCAUUGCUUGGACUUGAUUAAUAUCUCUGAAUGUUAGUUUGGAGGAUUCCCCCCGAGAUCGGAUUGGACAAGUGACUUAUCUUUUGAAUGGACGAGGUUAUUCAUUAAGGUGGAGAAUUGUUGGAACUUGUGACUCAUAAUAUAGAAGCUACUAAAAAAGGCUAGUGCGUCGCUCCGCUCGGGGAGUUUCUGUUGGUAUGGCGCGGGGCGCGCUGGGUGAAAGCUAGGAGUGGCACGGGGCGCGCCGGUGAAGUUUUUACCCUGGUAGCGCGGGGCACGCCAUGUAGUACUUGUGAGCGGCGCGGGCCGCGCCAGUCGGCUGACAGAGUUUUUUCUGGGUUGUUUUUGGAGGGACAUUAUGGGUAAUUAAGACAUAAUGUGAAGUAGGGUUGGAAUAGGAUUAGUAGCUAUAAAUACUAUCUAUUGUAAAACCCUAUGUAAGCAAGGAAUUAUUAAUAAACAACAAGCCGCCUAUGGAGUACCCAAAUUGGGGAACCACGUAAAUCUCUGUGUGAAUCUUAAUUCUUUAUCGUUUGUGCGUGUAUGUGAUUCUAUAUUCUAACAACAUGAGUUUUUGAUAUUUUCACAUGGUCCCCUCUCACAUGAAAGUGGAAUCCACUUUCUUCCCAGGUGAAAGAAGAUGGUGGAAAUAUCAAUUUCCUAAAAUAUUUGCUCUAGAAAUGUGAGUAUGGCUUAAAUGACCGGACCGGAGUACUAAUUAAAUGGAUAAAGGCCUCCAUGAACGAUUGAAUUAUUCACCUCAAGGAUCAAGUAUUAUAUUUUAGACCAACACUUGUAUUGAGAUAUCAUUGAGAUAUUCUAUUAAUGUACCGUAUAUAUGGUUAAGCGUGAGUUUAUGAGAUGGAUUAGAUUUACAGAGCAUGAGUUUAGGAGUUAGAUUAGAUUUACAGCUCUAAUUUCCUAAUUUCUAGUUAAGCGUGAGUUUAGGAAUUCGAUUAGAAUUACAGCCUAUUUUCUUGCUAUCCUUUUGUAUAUAUAGAUGACUGCGUCAUAUCAAUAAAGAACAAGCCAUUCACGACUUCUUCAUGGUAUCAAAGCCACACGGCUAAGAUACACGAUCUACAUGGCUCGAAAUGACCAUAUAUCUCCAUUUUUUCUUGGCUCACAAGAUAGACCUGGAGAUCUCAUCACUGUGGUUCGUCUUCGACACGACAAUUAUGAUGUAUGGGCAAAGUCUGUGCGCCUUGCUCUACUAUCUCGCCGGAAAUAUGGCUUCGUCGAUGGCACGAUUAUGGAACCUAAAGCACUUUUCACAACGGAGGAUUGGCUUACCAUUCACUCGAUGCUUGUUUCCUGGCUAAUGAACACUAUUGAUCAGGAGGUUAAGUCUACUAUAUCUUUUUCUGAUGAUGCUAAACUUUUAUGGGAUGAAUUGCAGGCUCGCUUUUCUAUUGUUAAUGGACCCCAAAUUCACCAGUUAAAAACUGAUUUAGCUAAGUGUGAGCAAUCCAAGGUCAUGUAUGUUUCUACAUAUUUUGGGAAGCUUAAGGUCUUAUGGGAUGAAUUGGCUAAUCAUGAACCAGUUAUUGCACGUACGUGUGGAAAAUGUGAAGGUCAUUUGGGUAAGGCGCAUGCAAACUGACAAAAUAAUGAACGUUUUCAUCAGUUUUUGAUGGGUUUAAAUUCUGAUUAUUAUGCCCCAUUACGUACUACUUUGUUGUCCCAAGAACCUUUACCUUCUCUUGAUCGUGCAUAUCAACAAAUUACCCAAGAAGAAUGCAUUCGUGGAAUCACUCAUGCUCAAGAAUCUUUAUCGGAAGUGGUGGGUUUUGCUAUUCGUCCAGAAAUUCGUGGCCGAGCGAAACCAAAUAAGAUUGACAAAUCUGGGCUAAUGUGUUCUCAUGGUAAUAGAUCUGGACAUGACAUUGUUACAUUUUUUCAGCUUCUUGGGUAUCCAAAAUGGUGGGGUGAUAGACCUCACACUCAAAGAGUCACUCAUGCUCGAGGCAAAGGAGGUGGUGGCCGUGGUACAGAUGCGACUGGUCGUGGUAGAGGAGCCAAAGUGCAAGCGAUGGCGGUAGACGGCUACAACACUAUGGUUGGAGCUUCGGUUAAUGGGCAAAGAAAUUCUUCCAACGCCACUGCUAGCACAUCAAACACUCCUGCCUCUCUUCCUAAUUUGAGUGCAGAACAAUGGCAGACUAUAGCUACUAUGUUUGGUAAUGCUCACUCCUCUACCGAUCGUCUACAUGGUGAGUUUUCUAAGAUAUCUUGGAUUAUUGACACCGGUGCUUCUAAUCAUGUGACGGGGGAUGAAUCAUAUUUGUUUGAUGUUCAUGAUAUUUCCGCAUGUCCCGUUGGGCUCCCCGAUGGCCAAAAAAUAAUUCCUACUAAAGAGGGAAGUGUGAGCCUCUUGGAAGGAUUGUAUCUUAAAAAUGUUCUUUAUGUCCCUGAAUUGCACUGCAACUUAAUUUUAGUUACACAACUCAUUGAUGACAUGCACUGUUUUGUAUAAUUUGCUUCUAAUAUGUGUGUUAUACAGGACCGUCAUACGAGGAAGCUGAUUGGAACGGGUGAACGAAGAGAUGGACUUUACUACUUCCGACAACCGUUUACAGUGCAAGCUAUUUCAGUGGAUGCUAUCUCAGUGGAUGGUUCUUUAUCUUCGUUGGAACUUUGGCAUCAACGUCUUGGACAUCCUUCAGAGAAAGUAGUGAAGUCAUUACCUUUCUUACGUAAUUCUAGUGAUAAAUUAAAUAAGGCAUGUGAUGUGUGCCCUCGUGCCAAACAAUCUCGUGAUUUUUUUUCUCUUAGUGAUCAUAAGGCCUCCCGAGUUUUUGAAUUGGUUCAUUGUGAUUUAUGGGGUCCUUACAAUACAAUUUCUUAUUGUGGGGCUCGUUAUUUUUUAACUAUUGUGGAUGAUUUUUCCCGAGCUGUAUGGGUUUAUUUGUUGAUUGAUAAAUUGGAGGUAUUUAAAAUGUUUAUGUCAUUUUUUGCUAUGGUUGAUCGACAAUUUGGUCAAAAGGUUAAGAUUGUUCGGAGUGAUAAUGGGACGGAGUUUCACUGUUUGACAGAUUAUUUUCUUUCAAAUGGGAUUUUAUUUCAAACCUCUUGUGUGGGAACUCCACAACAAAAUGGCAGAGUUGAACGUAAGCACCGUCAUAUUUUAACAGCGGCAAGGGCAUUGCGUUUUCAAAGUCAUCUUCCUCUUUAUUUUUGGGGUGAAUGUGUCUUGGCAGCUUCUCAUUUGAUUAAUCGAACACCUUCGAGUGUUCUUCAGAAUAAAACACCUUAUGAAAUUUUAUUUAAUACUUUGUCAGCUUUUGAUGAAUUGCGGGUGUUUGGUUCUUUAUGUUAUGCCCAUAAUCAACGAGCAAAGAAUGAUAAAUUUGCAAGUCGAAGUCGAAAAUGUGUCUUUGUUGGGUAUCCUUUUGGAAAGAAAGGGUGGAGACUUUUUGAUCUAGAAAAUAAAAGUUUUUGUUUCUAGGGAUGUUAAGUUCUUUGAAAAUCAAUUUCCUUUUGCCGAAAAUACUUCUACUCCUAUUUGUUCUAAAUAUAAUUCUGGCAGCGUGAAUUUGGGUGAUGAUGACUUUGAUUUUAAUAUUUUGGGGGAUCCUGCAUUAUUGUCCGAUGAACUUAAGCCCACAAACGAAUCCUCCCCACUACAUGUCACCAUCCAAAACCCAAAAACUUAUGAUUCACUGUCCGGCACGGAUGUUGAACAAAGGCCAGUUCAGCCCACCUAUCCACUCCAACAUCCAUCUACAGGGGGGCAGCAGGGGCUGCUCCGGAUCCUAUUACUGAAACUCACAUGGGACGUGGAUUUCGUGAAAAGGUUCCAUCCAUUCGGCUUUGUGACUAUGUUACUAACACUGUGAUCACAAAAAGUCCAUCUACUCUCUCUCCAAGUUCACCCGUGCCAUCCACUUCCUUAGGUACGCCCUUUCCUAUAACACAUUAUAUUAAUUGUGCAAAAUUUUCUGUUAGCCAUCAGAAGUUUCUUGCCGCUGUUACUGCAGGUUCUGAACCGAAAUCAUUUAAAGAAGCUAUGACAGAUGUAGGAUGGCGUCAUGCUAUGCAAAUAGAAAUUCGUGCUUUAGAAGAUAAUGGUACUUGGACUAUGGAAAAAUUACCACCUGGUAAACGCGCUCUUGGUAGUCAAUGGGUCUAUAAAAUCAAGUAUAACUCUGAUGGCAAUGUUGAACGGCUUAAAGCUCGUUUGGUUGUUUUUUGGUAAUCAUCAAAUUGCUAGGAUCGAUUAUCACGAGACUUUUGCACCAGUUUCAUAGAUGGUCACGGUUCGUGCUUUCUUAGCCAUUGUAACAUCUAAAAAUUUGGAGCUGCAUCAGAUGGACGUGCACAAUGCUUUUUUGCACGGGGAUCUUAAUGGGGAAGUCUAUAUGAAGCUUCCUCCUAGUUUUGGGUCUUCUCAACCUGAUAUGGUGUGUUGUCUCCGAAAGUCAUUAUAUGGCUUGAAACAGGCACCGAGGUGUUGGUUUGCCAAACUUGUUACUGCUUUAAAAGAGUAUGGUUUUCUACAAUCCUAUGCUGAUUAUUCUCUCUUUACUUAUACUAAGGGUGAUAUUCAAAUCAAUGUUUUGGUGUAUGUUGAUGAUUUAAUUAUUUCUGGGAAUAAUUCCGCUGCUUUGAGAGUCUUUAAGAACUAUUUGAGCACAUGUUUCCAUAUGAAGGAUCUCGGGGUUCUUAAAUAUUUCCUCGGGAUUGAGGUGGCACGAAGUUCUGAUGGUAUAUUUCUUUGCCAACGAAAGUAUUCUCUUGACAUUAUUUCUGAAACUAGUCUUCUAGGUGCCAAGCCCGCAUCCUUUCCCAUUGAGCAAAACCAUCGACUUUCUCACGCUUCAGGAGAUUCUUUGUCUAAUCCAGAACCUUAUCGUCGUUUGGUUGGGAAAAGAACUAACAACUUUGUAAGGUCUUUGGAUGACAUCUAUAAAAUGCUCUGAAAUGUUCUUCGCUUGAACCCUUUUCUUAAACCACUGUUGGAAAUUAGCAUUAGUGAAUGUUUCUAACUCUACUGCAGUAAAAGUUGGGUUAGAAGCAUACGCUUCCUCUUCAAAUGAACUGCGAAAAUAAUAAAAUGUCUUUAACAUAUAUAGAUGACUACACUUAUAAAUUGCACUAAAUACCGCAAAUAAUAAGCUGAGACUUACGUGAUUUAUGAUGAUACUUCGGGCAUAUUUAGAAGCACGUAUGUAGAUACAAUCUUCAACUCUUUGUCGCUUAAGUAAGUCAGCGUCUCAUAGCCAAAUGGCUUAGCCGGAUAUGUGAAUACAACUAACUCAUCAUCAAUAUGAGACAUUGGACCAACAACCUCAUUCCUUCCUAAACAGUUGUGCUUCGUUGAGAGAACAUCGUCAAAAUACAAUGAGCAGAAGUUGACAAGCUCUUCCUCCGUAUAACGUUCAACAAUAGAACCCUCUACACGAGCUUUGUUCUUGACCUUUUAUUUUAAUAGACACAUAUACCUAAGAUAUAUUCCGACAAAUAUGAGUAUUAUUAAUAUGAGCAACAUAAAGCAAUUAGUAGUUUAUAUUACCUCUCAAAAGGAUACAUCCACCGAUAUUGCACCGGUCCUCCAAGUUUUAGUUCAUAAGGUAGAUGAAUAGGCAGAUGUUCCAUCGAGUCAAAGAAUCCUGGAGGGAAGAUCAUUUCGAGCUUGUAAAUGGUAAUCACAAUAUUGUUCUCCAUCUACUCGACAUUACUGUACUUAAUUACAGUUGAGCAAAGAUCUCGAAAGAAAUUUUAAAAAACAUCAAUUUUCUGAUACCCCAUAUUUAACCCCUUGACCAUCUUCUUCACUUCGUAAUAAUUCGUAGGAAGAGUAUGAUCCUUGGGUAAGAAUUGUCCAACUAUAGCAAGAAAAUCGUUGAAACCUCUCUCACUACAGUCAUGCUCAUUCUUGAAGUGUAAGAGCAUCGUCACUGCAGAAAACUUGGUGUCCGUAUCAUUUCCUAAAUACAACGCGACCCCAGAUUCAGAUAACAACUUGUAAAAGGCAGCAGCUAUAUCAUUUGGCACUUGCUUAACACUACUUAAAGAAGGCUCAUUUUCAGCCCAUUCAAUAUUAGUAGGGCCAUAAGCUUCGACCAACAUCUCCACUGGAUCAUAGUUUUCGACGUAUGAAUCCCGUAAAAUUUGUUAUUCCACAAUAUUUUCAAUCAUUUUUGAUUCCCCGUGAUGAGUUCAUACGCAGUACCCAUCCACAAAUCCACGGGAAAAUAAGUCGAAUUUAAUCUCGUCGACUUUCUUCCAAAUCAGGUUUUUACACUUGAUACACGGGAAUCACAUCUUCCCAUUUGGAUCAUCCGUAUGUUAUAUUGCUUUGUUCAAGAAAUCUGACACCCCAACACGAUAAGCUAAGACUAUUCCCCUCCCAUCACUGGGUAUCCUACGGUAUAUCCAACUCCGGUUGGCUGACAUUUUUAACUACACAGAAGACACAUUCAGUUAAUUUGGAUUCAGAUUUACCUAGUAUCUCCACUCUAUAGGACAGGGGUAAGGCUUUUAUCCCGUUAUUGGAUGCGUCUCAUCACUAGUGCCAACACGUUGAGUACGUUUCAUGAGUUUCAAGAAAAUUUUGGCAGCACCUCCCCAUGGUCUCCGAGCACACAAAAUAGACUAAGAUAACUUAAUCUAAGUAUGCACUCGAAGAACAUAUAGAGAUAACAGUCGAAAAAUCAUCAAAACAACAAAAAUGUACCAUUUCGUAUUGCCUAAGUGAGAGACAUAACAUCCAGUAACAGUCCCGAACUGGGGACUAUUCGACAUUCACUCCUACUGAGUGAAUGUCGAACGAGUUUCUAAGUUCCAAAGUAUAGUACAUAUAUUAUUGAGUGUAUUGAAGAUUAAAGGGAGAGUAUUAUUGAGUUUAUUGAAAAUUAUGGCAAACUAAGCAAAUGCUACUUAGUUUAUUUUGCCAAUGAUAAACUAAGUAAGUGGUACUUAGUUUAUGAGAAUUGUUAUUUGGAAUCUAUAAAGACUACUGUUCGACUUUCAGUCCUACUUUUCAAACAUGUUUCUAAGUUUCAUAAUAGUUGCAGUUGUAAUGACUACUAGGAGAAGAGUCAAUGACUUCCUUGUAUGCAGGGUUCGACAUAGCUGCAGCUAAUAGUACUCCAACUAGUUCCUCGGCAACCAGAAAAAAGGGUCGUAGUUCCUGUUUGUGUCCUAUACUCAAAUAAUAAAGUUAAUUGAAUUACUACGAACAUUCCUCAUUGUUCCAUCAUAACAGAUGACGACAUCCCGAAGGAGUUCCAUUAUGCUAUUGAAAAAAGUUCCAGGUUAAGCAACCCUCUAGAUGAACGAACGAUCACUUCUCUGCUAGGAAUGAAUCAUCUCCUCAUAUAGGUGCAAUCCAUGACAUAAACAGCUUCUCACCAAUCCGAAUUCUUCAGAUGGGUAGUUCUCAUAGAAAAAGAGGUAAGACGUUCUGUUAGAACUACCCAUCUGAGGAAUUUGGAGUGGUGAGCUAUCUAUGUCAUGGAUUGGACCCAUAUGGGGAGAUGAUUCAUUCCUAGCAGAGAAGUGAUCGUUCGCUCAUCUAGAGGGUUGCUUAACCUAGAACUUUGUUCUACAACUUAAUGGCACUCCUUCCGGAUGUUGUCAUCUGUUAUGAUAGAACAGUGAGGAAUGUCCGCAGUAAUUAAUUCUAACUUUAUUAUUCGAGUAUAAUAUACAAACAGGAACUACGACCCUUUUUUUUUAAUUGCUGUCGAGGAGCCGAUUGGAGUACUAUCUCGCUGCAACUGCUAUGUUGAACCCUGCAUAUAAGGAAGAGUACAUAUAUGUAGGGAGAGUAUUAUUGCAUUUAUUGAAAAUUGUGGCAAACUAAGCAAAUGCUACUUAAUUUAUUUUGCCAAUGAUAAACUAAGUAAGUAGUACUUAUUACUAAUUUUGCCAAAGAAAGUAUAUGCAAUUUAUUACUAAUUUUAAUUUUUAUAAUUUUAGAAAUAUAUUUAUAUAUGCUUAAUUAUUAAUUCUAUAAAUAGUCAAUUUGACUUAAAAAAGUCAAAAUUGAGCAGUUAAUUUGGGACGGAGGGAGUAUAAUAUAAUUUUUGAUUAUUUUAUUAAAUUAAAUUAAAUUCAUUUUUUUAUUUUAUUAAAUUAGAUUUAUUAAAUUAAAUUAUUUUUAUUAUUUUAUUAGUAUUAUUAUUAUUAGUUAAUUUAAUUUAUUUAAUUGAAAUUAUUUUCAUUGUCUUAUUAAAUUGGAUUAAAUUUAUUAUUAUGUUUUAAAUAAAUUAAAUUAAAUUCUUUAAAUUAAAUUUAUUUUAAAUUAAAUUAAAUUUAAAUUAUUUUAUUUUAUUUUAUAAAAUAUUUUUAUUAAAUUUAAUUUAUUUAUUAUAUUAAAUCAAAUUUGUUUUGUUUUAUUCAAUUUAUUAUUAUAUUUUAUUUUGUAUUAUAUUAUAUUAUCAAAUUUUUAAAAUUUAUUUUAUUUAAUAAACUAAAUUAAAUUAAAUUUGUUUUAUUUUAGUAGUAAGAAACUAAGUAAAUGCUACUUAGUUUAUAUUUUAAUAUUGGAAAACUAAUUUCUUAUACAAUACAUGUAGGGCCCACAAAAUCUUGCAAAUGAAUAAUUCUGACAAAAAUUCUGUCGAAAAUAGCAAAUAUAUCAAAAUUAAAGACAGUCCCAAAACAGUCAUAAAAGUAAUGCCAAAAUCAAUUAUACCAACAAACAAUUGAGUAAAUUAAUAUAUCUCAAUAUAUAUACAUAGACAAAACCCUAAUAUCAAUGUUCUGAAGUUCAAAAAAAGUAUUAUAUAUAUGCAGUCUUAAAUCAAAUGAUGUUCAUCCGAAUUUCAGCAUAUUUAUCCCAAUUUUAGCAAAAUAUAAUUCCAAAUUCCACAACAACAAUAAUUUCAACAGUAUGCUGAAUUUAAGUAGAAUGGCCAAGUCAAAAAAAAAUCACUGUGACAACAAUAUCAACAACUUAAAACAGGAAAUAAAUACAAGCUCUCUAGUAAUCUCAAAUUCUCAAACAAGUUCUAAUUUCAGCAACAACAUAUAUAGUAUGCCCAAUUUCAGCAGAAAUUAUCACAUUAAAACCAAUAUAUAUUAACACUAAAAAUUAAAUUUGGAAAUUUCAGUACCUUGAGAGUUCGCCGGAAUGGAGGAGGAUGAGCUGCUGGAAUCGCCCGAGGAGAAAGGAGGAGCCGCCACCGGAAUGAAAGAAGGAGAGACGCCGCGGCAGGGGGGACGUAAGGUGUCUAGACCGGUCGGGAGGGGUGGUGGUGGUAGGGGGAGACGAGAGAGNNNNNNNNNNNNNNNNNNNNNNNNNNNNNNNNNNNNNNNNNNNNNNNNNNNNNNNNNNNNNNNNNNNNNNNNNNNNNNNNNNNNNNNNNNNNNNNNNNNNCUGCAGUACAUGAGAGCUAAGAGGGAAAUGAGAUGCGGCUGGAAGAAAAGGAUAUACUAAUUAAAUUUUUUAAUUAUUUCCGACGGAUUAUCCGUCGAAUUUACUUCCCUCGAACUUACCAUUAUUUCGACGAAAAUUCCCUCAGAAGUAACUAUCAUUCCGUCGAAGGUAGUAGGGUUCGCGCUGGCGAGAAACUUGACCCCAAUGAGGGUAUUCUAUUUCUGACAAAAUUCCGUCGGGAUAAGCUUAUUUUUGAAGAACUAAUCUUCGACGAAAACUUCCGUCGUAAAUAGGCUUAUUUCGACAAAAUUAAAUCCGUUGAGAAUAAUUUCGUCGAAGAUAAGAGUUUUUCUUGUAGUGUCAGGUUCUUCCUUAAACCUGGAAUAUGUUGUGAGUGCCCCAAAUCUGGGUCCUAAAUCACCACGGAUCUGGUUCAAUCAUUCUAUCACUAUUACUAUUUGCGGAAGAUAUAAACAUAAAUUAUUUAUACAAUAACUUUGCACACUUUUCCCUAAGGUCGAGUAACCUUAACUUAAACAUAAUUCAUAACUUAUUUAACUUACAAUAACAUUAAUAUAUAAUACUUAUACAAAUUUAGCUGCACACAUAUACUAAAGCUGGAACUGUCUUUUGACCUUUCCUUGUAUCCGACGAAUUCGUCUUAAUCUGCAAUAUUUAUCAUGAUAUAACAAGGGUGAGCAUAAUUUGCCCAGCACGUAUAAGUUCAUUUAAGGAUAUAUCAUGAUUGAAAGAAUUUGAAUAAUAAGCUGGCUAUAAUUAAACAAUAUAGUUAUGAAUUAGCAUGAACACAUUUUUGACUGAACAAGUAUUUAACAUGAACAAAUAUAUCUGGACCGAAUGGUAAUGAAGGUGAUCAGCCUUUUAUACCUAAUGAAUACAUGUCAUACGCACAUGGUGCAAUUUAAUAAUUCUUAGACAUGGCAAUCAGAAAUGAUUAACCAUAACUAUAAUUGAAUAAUACAACUCGAGGUCGAGUUAAGAAAAAACUUGCUUGAACCGUUGAUUACCGCUAUGCAAUUUAAUAAGCUUUGUCUGAACCUAAUAUAUAAAUAAUAUCAAUACACAAAUUAGAAUAAUAUCAUCAUAUUAUUUAAAAUAACCUAAACACAUUAUCACAUAACCCUAUCCAUCUAUAACACACAUAAGACUUAACCUCAAGUCAAACUUUUACAGUCUAAGUCAAGUUCGGUACAAUUCUAACAUCCCGACGGUCUAGUCGGACAAAAUUUCGAGUUUAAGUUCAAUUAAACUCUGCCUAACACUUAACAAUUAUCUAAGAUAAUUUAUUAAUAGUUGAAAUAUUUUUCGUAAGCUCGUAAUAAUCUUUAAAUAAUUAUUAUCAUUUAUCAUGAAUUUUCAAUUAUUAAUAUCGUAUUUAUAUAAUAUAAAUACCACAAUAUUCUAUUAUCAUUAAUAUCUAUUUAUUAUCAAAUAUUAAUGAAAUACAUGUCAUAAUAUUAUAAUAAAUUUAUAAUAUCAUAAAGUAUUUUUAAUUCUUUAAAAUCACCUUUAUAUGAUUUUUAAACAAUUAAUUUCAUUAUCCGAUAAUUGCUAUUAAUAUUAAAAAUAUUAAUAUUUUCAUGACAAAAUAUCAAAAGUUAUAUUUUAUAACUUAAAAUAUUUUUAUAACAAUUAAAUCAUUUUUAUAUGAUUUUUAAAUCAUUAGUUCUAUUUUUCCAUAAUUUAUUUAAUAUAGUUAUUAAAUAAAUAAAUUAAUUAUCAUUAAUAUUAAUUAAUGAAAUUCAUCACAAAAUAUUAAAAGUCACUAAAAAUAACUUAAAAUAUUUUCUUAUAUAAUAAUAUAAUUUUUCAUGUAUUAAAAUCAUUUUAAAAUAAUUUAUUUAAUAUUAUAAUUAAAUAAAUUAAAUACCAUUUAAAUUCCAAAAAUAUUAAAUAUUUAUGAAAUAUACUCAAAAUAGUUAAAACUAAUUUUCAGACUUUAAAAUAAUUUUUAAGAAUCUAUUUUGUAUUUUUAAUAAUUAAAAACUAUUUAAUUUAAUUUAUUAAUUAAAAUAAUUAAUUUUCGGAAUUUAAUAAUUAAUAAAUGGUCCUAUAUCGACAAAACCGUCGCUAUAGGUGUUCUUGAGCAAGAACCCAGAACUUCAAGUCAGUUAACUGAGUGCUAAGUUUGGGCAAAGAUAGAUCUUUGGUCUUAAUGAUUCUGGGCCAUCUAAGACAGUACUCUUGUAGUAGAAAUGUAACACUACAAUAAGAAACCAUCAUCUUGGUCAUAUCACACCACAAAAAGAAAAUCAGAUUCACCAAAGUCGUUGUCAGACAUCAUCUGGGUUUUCUGAGUAACCCAUAAACCCAAGCAGUCGCGAGGUACCACUUUGUGGUUCUAUUUUAGCUUAGUUCUGGUAACUGUAUUGGUGUUAUUAAGGUUCAAACCUAUAGUACUUAUGUCAUAGAACAUUUAUAUACCAUGAUCUCAGUCCAACAACAUCAUCAACUCAAUAUUUAAGCCGGUCAAAGUACGGGUCAGACACUGUUCUUGAGAAAUCUGGGUUUUGCAGAUUUCUUCAUAAGGCAGUUGGUCAACUCAAGUUUGACCUUUAUUAUCUUGGAUCUUAUACAUGAUCUGGGUAAUCUAAUGGUAUGGAUGUGUAGUUCAUAUGCCAGACUACAAAUACCAAGCAACAACAUAAUCUAAAACAUUAAACAUAGUAAGAUUCAUGGCCUACAAAAUGGUUGUCAGAGUUUCGGGAAAAAUCUGGGUUGCCCAGAAUUCCAGCUUCGUGAUCGGUCAACGCAGUUUGACUUCUCAUAACUUUCAAUCUAGACAUGAUUUGACACUGGUUCCAGUUCCAGAUCAUAGUCCACAUGACAUACUUCAGUUAUAUAACAUAAAACACCAUAAACAUCUAACACAUAAGAAUCUAGAGGCCCUGACAUUCGGCUGUCAGGCCUUAUUUUUCCAAUUUUCUAGAUUUCAAAAAAAUGCUAUUUUGUGCACUUUGAUGUUAUGGAUCUGGGAUCUAAUAACCCAGAUCACUAAAAGAAACCUUAAUACAUAACUUUAAACAACAAAUCAUAACAUCUAACAUCAAAUCUAAGGAUUUCUAAAAUUAGGGAUUAUACCUCCUUUAAUGCUUUGAUCUUGAUUUUGACUCUUGAAUCUGUUUAUGGAAAGUUAAGAACUGAUAUUGGCUUAACCUAGAACUCCCUUUCACCCUCAUUCUCGAAUUUAGAGAGAGAGGAUGGUCUUGGACAAGUUGAAAAAAUAAAGUGAGAUUUUUUCUUACUUUUAAUCUAUAUAACAUUUGAUUCAUUGCAUGUUGCUGGCCUAGAUGGCUGGUUGCUGUAGUAUAAGGCACAUGUAGUGGUUUGAGUUGGUCACCAACUCCACACUUUGGCAAUAUUCUUACUCCAACCAAUUAAAAAUCUAAAAAGGGCAUAAUGGUCAUUAGACAUUUAAAUUUAAUGGCAUACAAGUCAUUUACCCUUACCUUUAGGGUUAGGGUUUAGGGUUUGAACCCUUAGGUUUUUUAUGUAAUAUGAUUUCUACGAUUUUCAAAAUUAGAUUUUAAAAAUAGAAAAUUAAUAUUUUAAAUUAUAAUUAGGAUUCUAUAAUUAUAUUAAGAUUUCCUAAUCAUAAUCCAAACUUGCUAAUUAGGAUUAAUAUUUCCUAAUUAAAAUUAAAAUUACCUAAUUAGCAAUUAGGGUUUAUAAUCCAAAAUUAGGGUUUUCUAACUAUUUUGUUAGGUUUUACCCUAAUUAAGUUUAUAAUCAAUACACUUAAGCCAAUAAGUUCCUAAAUUAGGAUUUCCAACUUCUGAAUUAGGGUUUCAGAUUCCUGGAACUGAAAUUAGGGUUUUCAAAACCGAUUUUAGGGUUUCUUAUCCAUUGCUAGGGUUUUCUAACUGAACGUUGACAUUCUUAAUAUAUACCUAGUGUUUGUCACAUAUAUCGUUUAUCUGGUCAACCCUUGACUAUGAGAUCCCAAAUUUUAUGAAAUAAAAGUAUUCAAUUUUUUUAUAAUUAUUAUUUUAUUUCGUAAAUAGUUAAAUUGAUAAAAGAUUAAAGUUAAGGGUGAUAUUUGAAUAUUUUUUUUUGCAAAGUAAGCAAGUUGUUAUUCGUUGUGCCGGGAAAUAUUCGAUUGGUCGGGGAAUAUUCGUUUUAACAGGGAAUAUUCGUACAACGGCACAAUCAUUGGUGGACCCCCACAAUGGAAUUAUUGUCGGAUUGAGAAAACGACAAAAAUACUUUAUGAAAAUAACGGCGGAAGUUUUACCGUUAACUGUUGAAACACCCGGUGUUAAAAGUACAGUAAUACNNNNNNNNNNNNNNNNNNNNNNNNNNNNNNNNNNNNNNNNNNNNNNNNNNNNNNNNNNNNNNNNNNNNNNNNNNNNNNNNNNNNNNNNNNNNNNNNNNNNNNNNNNNNNNNNNNNNNNNNNNNNNNNNNNNNNNNNNNNNNNNNNNNNNNNNNNNNNNNNNNNNNNNNNNNGUGCAAUUAUCGAAACUAUAUUUUCCUAUAAAUAGAAGCUCAUUCUUCCUUCAUUUCUCACCAAUUCACAAAAGCUUUAGAGCAAUUAUUAUAGAGAGAAAUUAUAGAGAGAAAGAAGAAAAGUAUUCUGCUACUUCACUACUUCUAUAUCCAGUACUUUUCUUUUUAAGGUAAGGGGUAUUAUUUCUUUCUUUCGUCUUCAUGAAAAGAACUUCUGUUAUUCCAUUCUUUGUUAUUAUGUUGGAAUAACCUGUCUAUGCGAAGUACCGCAUACUUGGUGAAAUUUUUCUGUUAUUCCAUUCUUUAUUAUUCUGUUGAAAUAUCUUGUCUGUGCGUUUUACGCCGGACCUGGUUCCGUCAUUAUUAUUCUGCUGGAAUAUCCUGUCUGUGCGUUUUACGCCAGAUCUGGUUCCGUCUUUACUAUUUUGCUGGAAUAUCAUGUCUGUGCAUUUUACGCCGGACCUGGUUCCGUAUUUAUUAUUCUAUUUGGAAUAACCUGUCUAUGUGGAUUACCACAUGCAUGGUGAACGAUCCUUUGUAUUUCAUUCCUUGUUAAAUUGUGGAAAUGAUCUGUUUACGUGGAUUAUGAUGAAAGUCAUAAUAAAAGCAUUGGACUAAUGAAAAUCAUGGGUAUAUGUGGUAUUAGUAAGUGUUAUGAUGAGUUAUGUUGGUUAUUAUGUGAAAACCUGAAAGUUUCUUAGAAAUCACAAAGGGUUGAAAAAUCAGAUUUUGGUGAAAAUGGAACAUGAAAUUCAAUUGACCAUAUCUCCUAUUGUAUUUCAAAUUUUUGAGUGUGGUCAAGUUCUAGAGUUAGGUCUAUGAGUUUUGUAACUUAUCCAAGUGGAAUCACUAGAAAAGGUGUUGUAGAUUUUUGUGUGGACUGAUUUUAGCAAAGUACGAAAAACUGCAAAAUAUGAAAAAGGCUACUGCCACGAUUUUAAAAGAGCUGUUUUGGCCACUUAAUUUGUGAGAAAAAUUCUGGCCUUUUGGUACAUGAAAGUAUAUGGUAUAAAGUACAUCCUGUCCAAAAAUGAGUUCAUUCCGACUUAAAAUGAGCAAGUUAUGACCAUUUUAAUAUUUAGGUUUUUUCGACGAAAAAUGCUAUAACUGGAGUUCUAUAACCACGAUGACCAUGAAAUUUAAACUAGAAGCUCACGUUAACAUGUGUAAGAUCCUACCAAGAUUUGGGAAUUUCUGGAGUUAACCGUGAGGUAGCUAAUUUCUUAAGGAAUUAAUUAGAAAUUGAUUUUUGAAAAAUAGUAAAUGAAUUUUAAAAAUGUCAAGAAAAAUAUAUGUUCAAUAUGGGACUAUAUUAUGCUAAAUCCCAGAAAAGAAUAAUUUUUG